CCCCCGGGGCCACCUCCGGUGGUCCCGGUACGUUACCGGUGACGCCCAAAACACUUCCGACGUCCAAACCCAUCCAUCCUAUAUAUCAAUCUUUACCUCCGGACAAUUCCGGAGCUCCUCGUGAUAUCCGGGAUCUCAUCCGGGACUCCGAACAACUUUCGGUAACCUCGUACAACAAUUCCCUAUAACCCUAGCGUCAUCGGACCUUAAGUGUGUAGACCCAACGGGUUCGGAAGACAGGCAGACAUGACCGAGACACCUCUCCGGCCAAUAACCAUCAGUGGGGUCUGGAUACCCAUGGUGGCUCCCACUUGCUCCACGAUGAUCUCAUCGGAUGAACCACGAUGUCAAGGAUUCAAUCAAUCCCGUAUACGAUUCCCUUUGUCUGUCGGUAUAGAACUUGCCUAAGAUUCGAUCGUCGGUAUACCUAUACCUUGUUCAAUCUCGUUACCGGUAAGUCUCUUUACUCGUUCCGUAGCACGUCAUCGUGUGACUAACUCCUUAGUCACAUUGAGCUCAUGAUGAUGUUCUACCGAGUGGGCCCAGAGAUACCUCUCCGUCACACGGAGUGACAAAUCCCGAUCUCGAUUCUUACCAACCCAACAGACACUUUCAGAGAUACCCGUAGUGCACCUUUAUAGUCACCCAGUUACGUCGUGACGUUUGAUACACCCAAAGCACUCCUACGGCAUCCGGGAGUUUCACAAUCUCACGGUCGAAGGAAAAGACACUUGACAUUAGAAAAAGCUUUAGCAUACGAACAAUACGAUCUAGUGCUAUGCUUAGGAUUGGGUCUUGUCCAUCACAUCAUUCUCCCAAUGAUGUGAUCCCGUUAUCAAUGACAUCUAAUGCCCAUGAUCAGGAAAUCAUGAUCAUCUAUUGACUAACGAGCUAGCCAACUAGAGGCUUGCUAGGGACACAUUGUGAUCUAUUUAUUCACACAUGUAUUACUGUUUCCUGCUAAUACAAUUAUAGCAUGAACAAUAAGCGAUUAUCAUGAACAAGGAAAUAUGAUAAUAACCAUUUUAUUAUUGCCUCUAGGGCAUAUUUCCAACAAAAGGGAGGUCGCUCCUCUCCAGAAAACGCAUCAGAAGUUCCUCUCUCCACCGGUUCCUUUCUCUGUGCUGCUGCUACGUUCUUCCUCAUCCCGUCUUGCGGCGUGCACCGUUCGUCAGGACAGUAGGCCUCCGAAACUCCGUCUCUUCGAGUCCUGUACGGGAGAAGGGCGAUAAGGUUUUUGGGGAGCGCCCAGCGCGACUACUGGCUUCCAUCACGGACACCGACGAUUUCUUCCCGGACGACGACUACUUCCCCGACGUCGACCACCUCUCUGGUAACAUGGCCAACGACAACGCCAACACCAAUCCUGCUGCUGCAACUCAGUACGUACUCAUGGUCUUCUCCUUUCAGUUUCUACCGCAACUUUUUGUUACAGUAUCUCUUCUAGAUAUGUACCGUGUCUGCUCAUCACUUCCUAUGGUAUCUUGUCUAUAUAGAACGAUUACGCAUAUGUUCUUUUCUAGAUCAUAUGUGCACUUGUCCUUUGUCAUUUCAUCUCUAUAUUGCAUGCCUUCUACCGUCUUAGUUAUGAUGGUUAGAUUUAUCCUAGCUUUUAAUAAAAUCCUUUGGUAAAUUGCUCAUAUUUCCAACACUUCUUACUGCCUCGCUGCGACGGGCUGGACGACAAGGUAGACUAGGGCAGGGCUGGGCGCGCGAGGUAGACCUGGGCGGCGACGGCGAGGUACACGGGGGAAGGGGGCCGACGGGGAUGCAGAUCCGGCGACAGCUGCCAUGGGUUCGAGGGAGAGAGGAGGGGUGUGAGGGAGGGGAUGACUCAAAAGUGGGUCGAAGAGGCAACUUUUACCCUCAUGUACCAGGCUACCAAACACGCCCUUAAUGUGGACCAGAAGACGUCGACAACCACGGUCUAUGAUGAGUGCAUUAUGCAUGAUUUGUUUCUUUAGUGUUUUGCAUUGUAGAGACUGGGGAGAUAUGUCUUUCUGCAUUUUACCAAGCUUCUUCGCCCCUUUUUAUCUGAUUUCACCAUGACCUUCGGAAUCAGAAGUGUUGAAGUGUUCUUUGAAAAGCCUUACUUUUGGCGAGGAAUAUAUUGAUUGGACGUCAUAGGAACCUUCCAUGCGACAUGAGGAACACAUGCGGAAAACCCACAUGAUUUGGGGGCUCCAUAAGAGAAGAAAACCAAUUGCAUGAGCACUCACAGUAAUACAACGUGCUCAUACCGCUUUUCAUCUUGUGCAAUCGGAUCUGAAGAACAAUGAGCAGAGAAGCUCUAUGACAAAUCCCAAACGCAGGGAGUACUUGUAAUACUUUUAAUGUGGAUGUAAAAGCACACGAGUGUCGAUUCCCUUAGGAGGUAAAGGUAGGUUUAAUAUUCUUUCAAGUUAUAUAUGCCACUUAUGCAACUAUCUUUGCACUUUUAGUGUUCACCUUACAGAUCCACCUAGGUAAUUACCCGUCAUUAUAACAUAAAAGUUAUCUCAUCCCAGUCAAUUACCCUUAAUUGUCACACACAUCUCACCCUAGGUGAUUACUCUCCAUUGUCACAUAAAAUUUAUCCCACAACAUGGCAAACAAGCACUACAUUGUAAGAUGAAGUUUGUGCUUCCCUCAAUAAAUGUAAUUUCAGGGAGUAGCCUAAGCUAACAUGAUAUUUUGCUCUCUUAGCAGUCACCCACGAAUAUUAAGAUCUAUUAAGGUAAAUAGCUAAAUCAUAACCAUAACUUCCUCUAGAGUCCCUAAGUCCCAUACGUUAUAAAUCAUAUACGUUUGGAACAGACACUUCUGUCACUCUGGCCUCCACGCAUAUAUUUAUCAUAACAUAUGACGGCACCUUUAGUGUCCCCCACACAGACACACAUACUUACGCGUGUACUUAUACAUAAGAUGCAAAAGAUUGCACAAAAACCAACAUAUAAAAGUCCACAAAUCAUUUUAUUAUUUCGUCAAUGUCAUGGAACAAUUUAGUACUCAAACAUCGAUAUAAGGAUGCGAUAAAUCAUGAAGAAAUAAUACACAGUACUCCCUCCGUCCCAUAAUAUAAGAGCGUUUUUACACUACAUUAGUAACAAAACGCUCUUAUAUAGUUAUAUUAUUGGAUGGAAGGAGUACAAUAAAUCAAUAUCACACAUUAAUCAAAUGCAAUGUAUUCUAACUAUACAAUAAUCCAAAUAUUCAUGUUGCUUACAACCAAAAAUCAUUAAAAUAUAUUCAACUGGUUCCCACAACAAUGCGAGGGCAUCAUCUAGUUAUUAUAAGUGCAAAAAAAAUCAAUAGCCUUCUCUUUCCACCCGUCCCAACACACCGUGCAACACUUUGAAAUAACAUCACAUGUGUCAUGUAUUCUUCGACCCAUCAUGCAUAUGCACAUAGUGACAAAGAAAGUUGUUGUGAGAAAAUAAAGAAUCCCAUUUGGGGUACCUAUUCCUACAUGUUCGGUCAACAAAAGUCCAAAAUAGUCAACAAGGUCCAAGGUAGUCAACAAAAGCCCAAGCACGUCAACAAGUCAAGUUUCUAACCAGUCAAACGAAAGUCCAAGCAAAUUGCCAUGAUCAACAAGUUACAGAACAAGGAAAAUAAAAGACCAAGGUCAACAAGGAAGACCAAAAGAAAAGAAAAGGAGCCAAGGUCUAAAUGUGACCAAACUUGCCAAAGGCCCAUUCAUGCAUGGAUAAAGGGGAAUGGUGCACCAUGGACUAUGAACACCCCCCUCCCCCAUUGACUAGUGUUCAUACACUCAUGGACCUAGGCUCACCACACUACUACUAUUACUACUACUCACCACCAUCAUGUGUAGCCCUGAUCAUUUGUCAAGGCGUGAUUCUAUAUACAAGCCCCCAUUUGCAUGUAACCAAAUCUCUCUAUUGCUAUUGCCGUUGGGGCUAAUAAACUCAAGGCGGGAGUGCUAUUGCCGUUGGGGCCAAUAGCGCCAGGUCACUAUAGAGUUGAGUCCCAGUUGUCGCAUAUGACUCGUAUUGACCUCAGCAAGGAUUGAGGAGAGGGUUUGGAGGAGUUGCACACGACCCGAAGCUUGUGAACGUCCAACACCACUCGUGGCCCUGCUAAAACGGGACUAGGUCGCAUUCAAUUAAAACCGCUGAACUUAUUAAAGAACAUUGUUGUGCCACUCUUGUUCGUGUGUACACCCACCUUCUCUACAAGGCCGUCUUAUUUGCCCCCGCUAAUGUACGAAUGAUCAUGCUACUAAGAAUACCCCCUAGUGUGAAAUAUAUCAUGGACACAACACAAAAAGGUCACGUUUUGUUGCCAAACGCAUCUCACAUGAUUCGAUUUUUAUUAUUUCCACGAUAAAGAAAUAUUGACUUGUAUCCUUAUAUGCACACUUACUUGAACAUCCCAUAAAUGACUCAAAAACCUCAUGGGUGUGGACUUGACACAUUAAGUUAUGUGCUUGUUUAUAGCUUCUCCGCCUUCAAUGGAGAAGACAUCUUCCCAAUGACUCUAGGCAACUGCACGAGCUUUAGCCAGGAAUCACCAUUAAAAUUAAUGCUCGUGGGCUAGGUGUCUCUGUACUUUUCGUAGGUUCUAUGAAUGGACUAGCAUUGACACUACAUGCCACCAAGACAUAUUCUCAUCGAACUCAUGGUAUGACAAACACCAGAACUCAAAAAGCUAACUAGUUAAGACGAUUUUUAAUAGGUGGUGCCACAAACAAAACAUAAGGUGGGUUUGAAUCUCAAUGGUUAGAAAUUUUACCGGGCUUUUAAUGUUCCUUAUGAAUGAGAAAAAUGUAUAUAAAAAAUCGUUUCGACUAAAAAUAACACUAAAAAAUAUAAGCUACUCCCUUCGAUUCAUAUUACCUGUAUUUGUUUAGAUAAUAAUGUAUGUAAACAGAACUUUGUCUAGAACUCUGGAUACAUCACUAUGGGUUGGAGGGAGUAGUGUUUGCUAACUUCUCAUGUGAGGCUAUUGUGCUCUUUUGCUCAUGUGGGCCAGUGGCCAACAAAAAUGGCUGAAUUUCGGUACGUCCCAACAACUAUGCAUGUUCAUCCUCCUAGGAUAUUGCCAAGUCAAACACGACCGAGUUCACAUCACCGAUUCUCAUUCAUUCGAUUAAAGAACUUAAGAACAUAUGGUAUAUAUAUCUUGAAUGUUUUUUUUUUACACUUGAAUGUUUGUUAUGGUCAUAGACUUUUAUCAUGCUUAAGUUUAAUAUAAAAGCCUUUUAUUUUAAAUAUAAAAGCCAUUUAUUGAUUCUUUAUUGUGUACCACUACGGACAAAACAAGUGGGAAAAGAUUAGUUAUUUUUCUUUUUUUUAAUAAGCAAUUAUAGUUGUUUUUUAUUCUUAAUAACGGAGGGGACAAAUUUAAUUAUAACCCGCACAACUGUGAACUACAGUACAUUUGGAACUGGAACAGCUGCAACGCACAAAAAGAAAAAAGAAAAAACAGUUUGAUCAUCUGCUGCCCGCCGUCGGAUACAGAUCAGACGGGCACGCGCCGCGGUGGUUCCACCGGAAAAAAGGGUCGAAUCCAACAAGCAAGAUACCGAACCCGUAAAGCAAAAGCGAAGCCAGCAGAAAGACCAAAACCAAGCCAAGACCGCCGGCCGCGUCCCCCGACCACCGCCGGCACCACAGCCCUCGGCGCGCGCGCGUGGGGAUCGAUCCGUCCGUCCCCCGGAACCCCGGCAGUAGUCCCCGCCGCGUCCGCGCUGACCGGGGCCCCGUCGAUCCGGCCGCCGCGUGGGGUUUGGUUUGGGCUCUGGGUUGGUCCCUCCCCAAGGAUCCAUUUUUAGCUGGAUUCCCGGGUCCCUCCGCGGGGCUACUAGAUUCCCGGUGGGGAGGGUAGGGGGAUGGAUUUGGCGUCGGUCAACGAGGCGCUCGCCGAGAUCGACGGGCAGAUCGCCGACAUCUUCCGCGCAUUGCAGUAAGCUCGACUGCUUCCCCAUGUUUGAAUUUGGCAUGCUUCGACGGAGCGCCCGGUAGGGUAGAUCUCCUUGGAAUCUCUGUUGAUCUCCACCUGUGGAGACUGGAGAAGAGCGUUCGUAGUUCAGGUUGAAUGGGCAUGUGUUUGUUGUAGUCUCCGCUGAAAUGGUAGUAGUAUAAUAAUGCGACUAAGGAAUGGGGGGUGAGUUGAUUGGUGGAUUGAUGCUUUGGUUGAAUUGCCUGCAGAAAUGGGUUCCAGAAGCUCGACAAGAUCAAGGAUGCCAACCGCCGGAGCAGGCAGCUUGAAGAGCUCACCGACAAGAUGCGAGAUUGCAAAAGGUAUUCCUUCCUUCUUUUCCUUCUGUAUCAUAAAUACCGCUGGUACACACAUAGUGCUUGGUAGUAAAAUGGCAGUGUUUGAACUUGAUAAGUAUGAAUGCAGCAUUUGGAAAGAGUGUGUAUCUGGCCCCUGUUUGGCUCAUGUUAACUUAUCCAUUUGCCACUGCAGUUGUUUCAUUAUCUUAUAGUACCAAAUGGUACCGCGGGUUGCAGUGCAUACUACCGGCAAUGCCUGCUUUGAGAAUCUUACCCAUGUAAUUUGCCAGUAGCUUAUAAGUCAAACAGAUAGCUGGUUUACUGAAUUUUGAUGUUGCAUGAGCGUCCUUGUAAGUCACAACAGUAGACAGUAGUCAUUUUUUGCCUUUUUCCGUGUCUUUUUACAGGCUUAUCAAAGACUUUGAACGAGUUGUCAAAGAUGAGGCGGGCAGUGUUGACCCCAACACUGCUAAAUUUCUGAACGAGAGAAAGCAGUCACUGGUACUGUCAUGGAAACUCAUCGAUCCCAAUAAUAUUUCUAUAUAUACCUUCCUAUUGUGAUUCUUCAACUUCUACUAAACCUGAGUUUGUCCUAUUUCGCAGAUCAAGGAAUUGAACUCUUAUGUUGCUCUGAAGAAACAGUGAGUUUUUACCUAUCUCCCAGAUCAAGGAUUUGCCCUUGUGUUGCUAAUUUAAUUUGUGCACUAUAAUCGCUCAUAAACUUGAAGGAAUAUAUUUCAUCAGUUCUGGUAACAUCUCAUGAUCAUGUAAGCAUUGUUUGGAUUUCAGACAUGCAAGUGAAAAUAAGCGAGUUGAUCUUUUUGAUGCUCCAAGUGGUGAAGAUGCCUUUGGUGAAGAAAAUGUCCUGUUAGCAUCAAGUAAGUUGCACUAUUCCACUCCCAGUAAGCGAAAUACUGUGAUAGCACCAUUCCUUUCAGGCUCAAGGACUACAAAUAUUCCUUCUUUUCUACGCUAAAAAUGGUUGACAAAUGCACUAAAAGGAAAUAAACGAAUAAACGUCUGUCACAUGUCCAGUGUGGAUUUGUGUAUCUCUUAGACAGAUUAUUGAUCUGAGCAUUUUUUUUUCUGUAGAUAUGUCAAACCAGCAGCUAAUGCAGCAUGGAGACAAUCUAAUGGAUGAGACUGAUCAAGCUCUCGCACGAUCUAAACAGGUUAGCUUUCUCCUGCAGUGUACCUUUUCAUGUUAGGUCCAGUGGUUCAGCCUUGUUGGUAUGUGUUCAUCUUGGGUCUGUAAAUUUGAGUUACAUGUCAAUAUUUCAUAAAAUGAUCUUUUGUUGUAUUAUAUGUGCAAUUUAAUAGUCAACGAUUCGUUUUCCAUUAUGAGCUAUCAAAUGUGAAAACUCUUAUAUAUUCUUGUCAGGCGUCAUGACCGUUUGCCAUAUUUUGUUCAUACAAGGAAAUGUAGUGAAACACUCACAUCUCUGUGUAUACAGUAUUGCCAUAUUAUUUUGAUAUUUGACCUGGGUGAAUUACUCUGUCUAUACAGUACUGCCAUAUUAUUUUUAUAUUUGGCUUGGUUGUUUGCUUUGUACCUUAAUUUACUGGAAGUUGUUUGUCUGUGUGUUCACCUGCAUCGUUAUUUUUAUUCUGUAAUGUGCAUGAUGCCAUGUUUGAUAGAUUAUUCUUUAUUGCAAAUGAGUUUAUCAUACAGUAUAUAUUUCACUGUGAACUUUACUUUCUUGGAGAGAGUUGAUAUCUUUGUAAGAAAAUGUGUAUAUGAUUCUCUGCUUUUCUUGCAUUUAUUUGUUAUAACUGUUUGUAGAAACCUAUGCACGGGUACUUUGUUUUCCCUUGUGUAUAUGCAAAACUUAUUUCUGUCUGUAUGACCUAUAGUUGAGCUUUGGGGGGCAUCUCCCAAGAAAAAACCUUUUGUCGAAAACGUUUGAAGUUUCUGCUCACAAAGAGAACUAUUGUGUUGUUGUUUGAUCUUAUAAAAAAGUUGUUCCUGGUUGUACAACUAGGUGGUUGGCCUGACUUGUUACGAUAUGGUGGUUGGGCUUGCUCCUCUUUAUCUGUCCUUGUCUCCUUGACAGUGCUCUUAUAGGUUUCAGUAGCAAGUUCGCUCUCCCGUGCAGUCAGUUAUUCAUCUCAAUACAGACAAAGUUAUCAGCACAUGCUUGAUCACCCAUGCCCGAGUCCUUACCGUUUGUAUUUUUUAAUUGCUUUAAGCCUUUAACUGAUAAAUUUACAAUUUGUUGGUUCUUACACGAAUUGCAGUGCUCUUGCUUUCAUAAUAAUGUGCUUCAAUGCUUUAUUAUUGCUCCCAGAUACUGAGUUCCUGCCACUAAAAAAAAGAUACUGAUUUCCUGUCAUCUUUUGUAGACUGUCCAAGAGACGAUCAAUGUGGGUACAGAAACUGCAGCUGCUCUCAAAGCACAGGCAAGACGCUUUUUCUGAUUCUCAGAAGCAGCCUGUCAUUGUAUUAUGCUGUCUAAGAGGGACACACCAUACCAGAGCUAACUUUUGGCUAUUUCUUACCAGACAGAGCAAAUGAGCAGGGUUGUUAAUGAGCUGGAUUCCAUUCAUUUCUCCAUGAAAAAGGCAUCAAAAUUGGUGAAAGAAAUUGGUAGGCAGGUAAGUACCUCUCUGAAAAUCCUUUCAUUUUCGCUGUCAACUCAACUGUUAUUUAUUUCCACUUACUUUAAAUGAUGCAGGUUGCAACUGACCGCUGCAUCAUGGCAUUGCUUUUUCUCAUUGUCGCUGGAGUCAUAGCUGUAAUAAUUGUUAAGGUGAGUGCUUACCUUCUUGAGCGGCCUACUUAGUCACAUCACUUUGUGUAUUGCAAACACCCAGUCACAUAGGAUAAAUAUGUUCGAGACUAUACAUAACUCGAUUUGGCUACUUCCUUUGCCUAUUGACCUUUCGGUUUGAUGUGACGUUUACAGAAGUUGGUGUGAAUGCACUCUUCCUCAAGCAAUACUUUAUUGUUAGUGGUUCAUGGUUAUCAUCACUCUGCUGUUUGGUGGCGUCGAUUAGAUGCUUCCACACCACUUCACUAAAUGUAAAGGCCACAUGGCUAGAAGUUAGAGAGUAGGCAAUCAUUAAUUCACUGAUUUACCCAUUAAAAUGGGUAAAUUUCCCAUAUCAUAUCUUCCAUGACCAUUCUUUGUGGACCAAAAUACUUCCGUACGGUAGUUCACUGUUCACCAGAUGUUAGACACCGUAAGGAUAGAUGACAGGAUGCUACAAUCAGACAACUGUUUGUGCAUCUAUAUUUACGUGUGUGUUUUCGGAGCGAUACGUGUUACACUGCCUUAAUGGGGAGUGCAUCAAACACUGGUGGCUGGCUAUGAAAAAGAAAACUGAGAAAUAACUCGUGUUGCAUUAAUAGGGCUUUUAUCUCACCACAUUCCAGUUUUGCAAUGCCCUUAUAGUGACGAGUGUUUCAUUGCAGAUUGUGAACCCGCACAACAAGGACAUUCCCAACAUCCCCGGGCUCGCUCCACCGGUCAGCAGAAGGCUGUUGUCCAUUGUAGAGGGCAAGUGAGUAUCCACACAACACAAGUGUAAAAUACCCGAUGAGGCGCCCUUGCGCGGUCGCUUGGAAGUUCCUUGCAUCAUGCCGCGCACACUGUUGUAAACUUGUAAUGCUGCCGUAGCUUGUACCCACCCAUGGGACCCGUGCCCAGAACCAAAGCUUGCCAAACCACUGUAAAAUUGUAUCUUCUUAUUCCCUUGGCAAGCAGGAAAGGUUUUGUUUUUGGCAAGAACCAUGUGUCCCUGUGAACAUUGACAUCUGUAUACUUUACACAGACCGUUGAGGGUGACAUCCGCCGCAAUGAGACGCACACACUUGAAUUCUGCAAAUUUAAUCCCAGAUUGCUGAUGUUACAAGGGGGCUCGACUCGAGGAUCGGAGAUACUUUUGAUUCUUUGAUCUUGCAAGGAAUUUUAUGUCACCUGAGGCUGCCUUUUUCCCAUUUGAAGCUGCCCGAUUUUCGCACCCUUUACACGGUCAAAAGGUAUCGAGAAGCCAUCAAAACACCACUUGAUCCAUGGUGGUUUCAACGCCGUUCUGCACUAGCUCCAGAUGGUGCACCAUAAUUUACACAUUACACCGCCUUCUACUGUAACCUGAAAAGGACUCGCUAACAAAUUAGCUCAACGAUUCAGAAUAAACAACGGGCACAGCGUGGAGAAAGCGCCAACCCUUGAAAACAAGAGGAUUGAUCGUCGCCGUGCAUGGGGGUCGACAGCCCGGUCUUUGUCCUCGUCGGAAUGCGCCGUGUAGUCCUCCUGACUUCCUACCAGCAUAAUGUCCGUGCGUUGCUACGAAAAACGUAACGCCCACACGUUCGAAAAAAGAAACAUGGCGCUUCCACGCCGUCAGAUUAACUGCCAGCGGCCGGGCGACGGCGCUCCGGCGCCAUCCACCGGCAUGCUUCCGUGAGUGGAUAUGGUAACAAGAUUGGAGUGCCAAAGGGCAAAGGCAGGUCGCAAGUUUCUUUCACCAGUUGGUUGGCACGUUUGUUUGUUGGUUUGCUCCGCCGUCGGAGACAAACACGGACUGCCUUCUCCACCUUCACCUUUGACCACUUUUCUUUCUUCUCGGUUAAUAAUGCCCAUCCUUGCACUACUAGAUUAAUAAUGCCCAUCGACGAGAGGAGAGGAGGGGUCUUGCUGCCGGUGCAGCCGCGUUCAUACUUGCCGCGAAGAAGAGAGCACUGUGUUCAACCGGUGGGGUCUGAAAUGUGCAUUCUGACGGUGACUUGGCUGAGAUAGAGGUGAGGAGUUGGGUUCAGCGGGUCAUGGGCAGACGGCGACUUGUGUGGAAGAAAAACACUCACUCUCACUAUCAGUAGGGAGGAUCAUUUCAAGGUGACUUCACUGUCUGGACCUCUUCCAACUACAGAAUUUCUUUCAAAACAAAAGUGAAGGAAAUAUGAGAAACAUAUGAUUAAUCCUAUGUACUCCUUCCGUCUCAAAAUUUAGAGUGAAUUCCAUUUUUUACUUUUUGACACUAAUUACCUCAUUCAACGGAAUUUCAUCCAUCAUACCCCAUUUAAUAGAAGUGUUUCUACAGUUUACCCCUUUUAAAUUUUCUAGAGCAUUUUGACAGGUGAGUCACAAUUAUUAGGUCCAACUGACAUGCCAUGUCGGCAGGUUUUUCCUAGGAUUUUUUUUUUUACAGUCUUUACCGCUUCGCGCAGCUGACUGAACCGGGCCGAUGACAAGAAGACCCAAACGCAGAUCCUUGAACGUUUUACGGCCGCUUGAUUCAUGUGUCAUUUCAUUAUGUGCUGAGAACUCAUGUGUCAUGGUAAACUCAUAUGCACAGUUUGAAUUGAUAAUGUUUACCAUGUUUGUGUAGGGGGUCAGGAAAUGCAAUGUGGACAAAACGCAUGUGUUUUGGCAAAAUAUUCUUCCUAUUUAUGCACCAAAUCAUGCUUUCAAAAUUGAUUAUUUUAGAUGGUAGCUUAUAUCAUAGUUAUGCACAUUGUUUUGUCAAAACUGAUUAUAGUUAUGCUAUACAUUGCUGUCAAUUUACAUGCAGAAAAAAAUACUGUGGCAACGUGGACCUGGCAAUCAAGACCAUGUAUCAGGAUGCUCACAAAAAGUAUAGAAAGGUAAACUAUGACAACUGUUUUGUUAAAUGGGGUAUGACGGAUGAAAUUCUUUUAAAUGGGGUAAUUAAUGUAAAAAACGUCAAACUUGAGGAUAAGAUGCGAAAUUCAUUUCAAAAAAUUUAAGACAUCUUAUACUUUGGGACGGAGGGAGUAAGUAUAUGGCGCCAACGUUUUUGAUGGCUCAAUGGACUCCACAUUCAUUUUCGAGAAAGAAGUAAAAUCUACGAACCAAAGAUGCGUUCAUCUAAGUGAAACUCGUACCAUGUAAAUAUGCAAGUGGGAAUUCCUCAUUUGACACCAGAGUGAAACACGUUUCCUAUUUGAUCGUAAACAGCAGUAGGCAGCCGCUGAAUAAGACCCUGUUUGAAACCAUAAUAGAUUAUGAUAAUCCAGAUUAUGAACAUAGAUUAUAUAAUCUGGUUUAUAAAAAUAAUCCAGGUGGGCAUGUUUGAGGGUCAGAUUAUAUAAACUGUAAACCAGCUUUUAAAUUGUACAAUGACAUGUUUGCCCUCUGUUUACACGAAAAAAUAGGAAAGUGGCGAUGACACUGCGUAAUUCUCUUGAAGUUUACAAGAGUAACACAUCAUUUGUAAUCCAUAAUCUUAUUUUAGCUGGGGUAGAGCAGAUUAUGAGAUUAUAAUAAUCUGGUCAUCUAGUUUAUAAAAUCUACAAUAUAAACCGUCCUGUUUGCAAAUACAAUAGAUUAUAAAAACCAGAUUAUAUAAUCUGGGUGGUUUGAAACAAGGCCUAAAAGCCGUGUGCGUGUCUGACGUGGCGGUGUGGGCAUACAUCUUGGCGUCCGCGGCGCAACCGCACACCAACGCUGGCAAGGCGUCACCACGAGGGCGGCCGGGUCUGUUGACCGUCGACGUAGUACGUACAGUAUCUCCUCCCCAUUCCCCGCAUGAUCCAUGGCCAUUUUUAUAUCCGUCGAUGCGUCCGUCCGUCGGGGUGCCGCGCGUUCCCACGCACCCGCUCGUCUCUGUCAAAGGCUAAACCCGCUUCCUCUUGAUUCAGCCCACCGUGCCGGAAUUCUGUUUCGGCUUUCCUCAUUCCCUUCUGAACCCCUUCUUCUUGGACUGCUGCUUCGUCUGUCUCACUCCCAUGAACAGCAAGCUCCUCCUGUCCUGACUCCUGAGAACCCUGCGGAUUAGAACGAUGGGAUGCUUCGCGUUCAAGGGCGGCAAGAGCAAGCCGGCGGCGGAGCCCAAGCCGGACGGGCCGAAGCGGAGCAGGGCGUCGUCCUCGUCGGCGUCGACGCCGACGAGGAGCAUCCAGGAGCUCUCGGAGGAGCGGGGCGCGGCGCGGCUGCGCGUGUUCGGGCUGGAGGAGCUCGGCAGCGCCACCAACGGCUUCAGCCGCGCGCUCAAGGUCGGCGAGGGCGGCUUCGGCUCCGUCUACCGCGCCUUCUUCCGCUCCGCCGCCGGCGGCCGCGUCGUCCUCGCCGUCAAGCGCCUCAACCAGCGCAGCCUGCAGGUCAGAAACCUGGAAUAAUCCUUGCAGCGAGAUCGAUCGCCACAAAUCCUGAGUGCUCCAUGAGGAACCCGGAAUCUUGACGUUGCAAUAAACAUAUCCGCCCGGUACAAGCACGGCCACUCGUGUCGCCUUCAAUGAGAAUUCGCAGAGCUCAACCACCACGUGAACUUCGGUUCAGGCUCCACACUCAUCGAUCGGGACAGCAUCACGCUACCCGUAUUAAAUCAACAAUCUUUUAUGGUGAUUUCUGAUGGUGAUUUCAUUUUCAGGGGCACAAGCAGUGGCUCGCCGAGGUGCAGUUCCUGGGCGUGCUGGAGCACCCGAACCUGGUGAAGCUCGUCGGCUACUGCGCGGUGGACUCGGAGGCGGGGAAGCACAGGCUGCUGGUGUACGAGUUCAUGCCCAACAAGACCCUGGACGACCACCUCUUCAGCCGCGCCCACCCGCCGCUCCCCUGGAGGACGAGGCUGCAGAUCAUGGCCGGCGCCGCGCGCGGCCUCGACUACCUCCACCGAGGCCUCCCGGAAGUCCAGGUUAAUAGAGCGCCGGCAGAGUUCUUGAAUGAUUCCGAGCCGGUCGCUCCGGCCGGCGAGGCUGAUCCGGCGGUGUUUUAGUGUGGCAGGUGAUAUACAGGGACUUCAAGGCGUCGAACGUGCUCCUGGACGGCGAGUUCCGGCCGAAGCUGUCGGACUUCGGGCUGGCGAGGGAGGGGCCGACGGAGGGGCGGACGCACGUGUCGACGGCGGUGGUGGGCACGCACGGCUACGCGGCGCCCGACUACAUCGAGACGGGCCACCUCACGGUGAAGAGCGACGUGUGGGGGUUCGGGGUGGUGCUGUACGAGAUCCUGACGGGGCGGCGGUCGGUGGAGCGCAGCCGGCCGCCGGAGGAGCAAAAGCUGCUGGGGUGGGUGAGCCGGCACCCGCCGGGAGGGGACAGCUUCAGGACCAUCAUGGACCCGCGGCUGGGCGGGCGGUACCCGCUGGCCGCCGCGCGCGACGCGGCGAGGCUCNNNNNNNNNNNNNNNNNNNNNNNNNNNNNNNNNNNNNNNNNNNNNNNNNNNNNNNNNNNNNNNNNNNNNNNNNNNNNNNNNNNNNNNNNNNNNNNNNNNNNNNNNNNNNNNNNNNNNNNNNNNNNNNNNNNNNNNNNNNNNNNNNNNAGAUGGCGGAGGUCGUGGAGGAGCUCGAGCGGGUGCUGCAGAUGGAGCCGCCGCCGCCCCCGGCUCCGGCCACGCCCAGGAGGUGAUCGAUCAUUCGAUCGACGAAGACCGGCAGAAUACUGGUAGUAUUAGUCAGAAUCAGUGAGGACUCGCAGUCUCUCUGCUGCAUCCGCAAGUGCACUCGAUGGAUGCUGACCGAGUGAGAGCUGUAUACAUAUCUCAGGAGACACGAAGGUGUAUCGGUGCGACCGAUUAAGGUGCUAUUGCAUUUGGUUAUGCACCAUUGCCGCUACCCACGAUCAAGGUGAAUGCAACUUCAUGCACCUGAAUUCUUGCAACCGGUUCGAACCCUACGAGCUAGGGCGGCGGUGCCGAUCUACCUCCUCCCAGGCAAGAUCAGAGCCCCCUCUCCCCCCGUCGGCUGCUUCAACGAUGGAAGCGUCGCGGGGACCCGUUGUUUCGGACACAUGGCCGUGUUCGGUUGCUUUCAGCUAUAGUACCUGCAUUGCAUAUUUAUCUCCAAUCAGACAUGUUGUUUUGGACACAUGGUCAUGUUUGGUUGCUUUCGACUACAAUACCUGCGUUGCAUACCCAUCUUCAACCAACCUGUUUCUUCAUAUGCAGCAAAUGCAAUCUAUUUGGUCAGAGGCGGAGGCAGUGGGGGGCGAGCGGGGGCCAUACCCCUCCUAUGGUUCGGCCCCCUCAACGAGUUGUAGCGGGGACUAGCCUGUUCCCUGAUACUAUAUUAGGCUUAAUUAUUCGGCUAUUAGCAAGGAUGUGGGCUAAGCUACUAAUUUCAAGCCCAAAACAAUUCCGCAAGAAGGCAACGUGGGCGAAGGCUGCACGCACACAUCCAUCAUCGCCCGGAAACCACGUACUCUUUAAUCGAUCGAUGCACACGUACACACUCAAGCGUUGAGGCGAGUCCCUUCCUAUACUCUUUCUUCCGCUAGGGCUUCGUUUCGCCGGGCUACCGGGGGUCGCACCGACGCAGCUUGGUAAUUAGCAAAGCCGUCGUUUGCCAUGCGUCAAAUCUGAGUAAGAUCCUACAAGUCUAGCCUACGGACGACGGUCUGUCGGGCGGCCGCGAAACAGACUACCAGAUGCAGAGGUAUUGUCAAAUUGAUUACAUACACCUGGACACCAAUUAAUCAACUGUUUGUAAUUAGCAUAUUUUGUUACUUGCAAGAUUAAUUACAUGUCACAUAUUGCUUUUUUUGCGGGGUAGGUUACAUAUUUUCUUUGUACUAAUAUAUGGGAAUUGUAAGGCCAGGAAGAUGAAUAAACCAUGGAUAAGUAAUUUCUUCAAGCCAAUGCUUCAAACUCUAACUCCAGAGUUGAAGAUGCAAAUCUAACCAUGACGAUAGAUGUCACAUAGCAAGCUACUGCACAUAAUGUCCACAAUCUUAGUUCAAUUCAUAUGUGAACAUCUUAACAUAAUGUUCCCAGUCUCAGAUCUCAAAGGUAUCACUACCGACAACUAAAAUAGUAGUUACAUAUUUUAUUGAAGUGCUUACAAAUUGUUGACUACACAAAAAUAAAUUAAUUGAUCAAUGGGAAAUAUAAUUUAUUUAUUUGUCAUUAGGAUGGCUUCAUCAUAUUAGUUUUAUCUUUCAACUUAUUGUAUGUUUCUUAAUAAAAUAAUAAAAUCAAGUUGAUUUAUUGAAAAUGAAAGAUAUACCAUAUUUCAAUUUCAUCAUCUUGGAAUAAUGAAGACGAAGACUAGAUAAUUAAGUAGUUUGAUCGGUCUGCUAGCAAUUCAUAAUUCUACACGUAAUUUUAGAAAAGUAAUUUUCUAUAUGUAAAAAUUAAUUAUAUAUAUAUAUUGAUAAAUCUUAUAUGAUGAACUUCACCAUUAUGUUCUUCGCCCCCCUAUGAUCAAAUCCUGGCUCCGCCCCUGUGUUUGGUUGACUGCAUCGCAUGAAGGGGCACGGUUGUCGUUUUUGUGCUUAGGGUGUGAGCAGAUGCAAACUUCAGCUGUUUGGUUGCAAAUAGUGUUUGUGUUCUGCUCACCCCAUUCAAAUAUGAUGUCCUUACCACCACAUGAUCAGCACAAAGCAAGCAACGGGAAUCACAACAAACUACUUAAAUUAACAGCAAACAACUUAAAUUAAACAAAGCAAGCAACGGAAAUGACAACAACAACAAACUUAGAUUAACAGCAUGGGCAUCCUCCUUCCCCGCUCUACGCCAGGGUGCCGCUCCUAGCCAAAAUAUUAACAAGUUCACAACACAAGUACCAUAAGUUCUAGCUAGACAACAUAACAAGUUCAACACUAACACCUAAGUUAACUACGUUGCAUGUUCAAUGUUACCAACACAGAUGUGCUUGCUGCAACGAAACAUGCACAUGAUCGAGGAGUCAUGAUUGUAGAUUUGGACCUUUAGGGCGAGUCCUAAGAUGCGCAGAACGAGGAGGUCGUCGGGGACGAUCUGGUGGUGGCAGCAGAAGUAGUUCCAGCCCCGGCCAAGCGCCAUGUGCCCCUCGAAGUUCUGGACCUGCACCCAGAACUCGCACCACUUGUUCACCGAGAGCCUGACCAAGCGCGGGGGCCGCCUAAUGACCAGCCAAUCGUUCAUCACCUGCACUAACUUGCGAGGGAUGACGAGCAUGGCGAGGUCUUCGGCGUCCUUGAUCUGCUGGUAGAAGCGCAACGGCUCCCGGGCCCCCUCCUCAUGGCCGGUCCUCGGUGAUCGUCCCCUUGAACGAGGCAUGCUCAUGAAGGCGACCCUGCCAGGAAGGUCCACCCUCUUAAGCCACAUGUUCAUGGGGAUGAGAUCCUCGACGCCCUCAGCUCCGGACACCACCUGAGCUCCUCCACCCGCCACAUCCCAGUCACUCUUCAAUACCUUGUGAGGUAAGAUGACAAGUAUUAGAGGUGCUUGCAAAAUGAACAACCACUGAUCAGUUGCACUAGCACUACAGCAAAUGGCACUGACCAUAGACAUUUGCCCAAGAGCAAAUGCCACUGAUCAGUGCACAAACUCUUUGCCAAAUGCCACUUAUCAAUGGCACUUGCUCUUGAGAAAAUGCCACUGAUCAGUGGCAUCUGGUCUUGCUCUUGAGCAAAUGCCAUUGAUUAGUGGCAUCUGGUCUUGCUCUUAAGCAAAUGUCACUCAUCAGUGGCAUCUGGUCUUGCUCUUGAGCAAAUGCCACUGAUCAAUGGCAUCUGGUCUUCUGCAACUGCCACUCAUCGGUGCACUAUGCUAAGCAUGGAAACAUCUAAAAAUAGCACCCAUGCGCACCCAUGCACAUUUGACAACAUCCUAAAAUAGUCCUACUACAUGCACGUAUAACAAUUUGGAGCAUGCAACACAAACCCUAGCUUGAACAUGUAUGUAGCAACAUGAACAUGAUCCUAGCUUAAAAUGAACAUGACAUUUGCAUGAACACAGAUCCUAGCAAGAUCCUAGCAAGACCCUAGCACUAGCAGAAGAACAUUAUCCUAGAACACACACUGUAGCAAACAAUAACGGAUCGGUCGGAUUCGAUUCGAUUGGGAUCAAAUCGAAUCGGGUCUACUCGAAUCCUACAAAAGCAGUAGCACAUGCCUAAGAAAUAAACCCCUAAUAUACAUCUACGAGCAAGCAUUGGGGAUUCUUUGACUCACCGGAGCUUGCGCAGUUGCAGCAAACUGAGGUCGGGGUGAAAACCCCGGCGGGAAGGAGAGAGGUGGCGGAGCUGGCCCUGGCGACGACCGGCGACAUCGGCCCCGUGCUCAUGGCCACGCCGAAGAUCAAGGAGGACGGCCCGCCGACAGGAGGAAACCCUUGGACGAGGGUCAAGAAAACCCCCUGCCCAAUGUGGUCCCAAGAAGUGUCAGCUCCGUGGACGGCACCGGCGCCGAGCCCAGGACCACGAGGUCCGAAAUCGGCGCCGGAGUAGGAACGACCGGCACCGCAUUCGCCGGCCCUUGUGGUGUCCGGCAACAGAUGGGGGACGGCGCUCGCAGCACCGACGCCAGGUCCUUGCCCGAGUUCUGGACCCCGGCCACCCAUCAGUUCUGGAUGGUGGCGAUGCGCUUGUCGACGGGGAUGAGAGGACGGCACGAUGGUGGGCAAGGCGGAGCCAUCGGAGGAGAGGAGAGGGAGGGGUGAUGAGGCAGAGAGGUGGGAACAGUGCGGGGACGGUGACAAGAGAGUGGGAGGGGAGUUAUGAGACAUCCCCUCUAUCUCCCGUGGUGCCUGAGGCGUCCAACCUCCUCGCACGCGUGUCCGCGCCAAGCCACACUCGCGAGAAACUGCUGAUUCGGCAGUUUCCGCCGGGCCAGGCUCAUGCCUGCUUUAAGGUUCGUGCGGGCCACGGAUCGCAUGCAGCCCAGCCAACCAAACAGGCCACGCACAUCCUGCGCGGGCCUGGUUGGGCUACAUGCGGGGAACCAAACACGCCGAUAGUGGUAAAGGGUGAGGAUUUCAGAAGUUAAGGUGAGGAUUUCAGUGCCCUAGUCAUCGGCGGUGAGGCAUUGCCAUCGUCGCCCGCAUGGAAUAAGUCCUCCUCGCCUCAUCCUCAUUCCCAUGGUUGUUCUUAGCAUCUUUGGGAGAGGUGAUCGAUCAUUCGAUACUAGUAGUAGUGGUCAUAAUCAGUGAUGAGGACUCACAGUUUCCUGUUGCAUCUGCAAGUGUACUCAAUCGAUGCUGACCAAAGUGAGAGUUGUAGAGAGAUCACAAAAGACACGAAAGUGUAUAGGUGCGACCAAUUAAGUAUUAAAAGAUUAGGCAAGUUCAUGAUUAAUUUUUAUAAAUAAUUUAUUAGUAUAACAACUAAUAGCAUGCAAUACUCUAUUAAUCUAGAAGAGCAACCGAACAUGUAGAUCAUCACCGCACACGAAGUAGCAACUACAACGAGAAGCAUUAACAGAUCACGAGUAACGUACUGCUCUUUAGCUGCUGCAGGAACGACCGUGUUGAUGACGAUGUUAGCGACGAUCUUUUGUUGAUGGUGACGGAGGUGACGAUGAGUAGCACCGUCCGACUUGGACGCUAGACGACCCGUGAUGACGAAUUUGAGCAGUCGUGCAGAGCGCUUCUUGAAAACCUAAUUUCUCCUCUCCCGGUGCAGGAUCGCAAAGACGACCGGUUCCGGAGACCUGCUCUCUCGCACGUCGAUGCACGCCGGUGUUCGAGAUGAGUUAGACUACGAUGGCAACACAAGUUGUGAGACGAGGCAAAACCCUAUGUGUUUUCGGUGUGUCUUUGGCCGACCACAGUAAGCAGUAUAUAUAGGAGGAUUAGAGUCAGUAUUGUGUCGCGAUCAUCAUCUCAAACUAUCUUGGUUUUUAAGUCAUAUACUUACCGAACAAGAAAUACUUAACUUGUCUGUCAAGACAUAAAAAUAAAACGCCAAAAGGAAGCCCUACCCCCGCAAGCCAACGAACCGGAAUUCGGCGGACCAUUCACGCGCAUGAAGCACGCACGCGCCACCCCGCCCUGCCCCGCUAGACGAGCGAGCGCGCGUGUGGUCUUCUCCUUUCUCUUCUCAGCACACACUUAGACUCUUAGAGUGGUGGGGAGAACUCAUUAUAUAAAGAGGUCCAACUCUUCCUCAACUAGCGAUAUGGGACUAAAGUUUAGCACCACGACACCACCACUUGCCAUUUUACUCAUGGGCUCAUUUGAGAUUUCAGAAUUUUGUAGAUGGGUCAAGCCCAUUAGUUCUAACAUUAAGGUGCUAGUGCAUUUGGUUAUGCGCCAUUGCCGCUACCCACGAUCAAGGUGAAUCCGUUAAUGCAAUUUCAUGCACGUGAAUUCUUGCAACAGGUUAAGAAAUUGGCAUCGGUUAAAACCUACGAGCUAGGGCGGCGACGCCGAUCUACCUCCUCCCAGGCAAGAUAACAACCCCCUCUCCUCCCAUCGGCUGCUUCAACGAUGGAAGCAUCGCGGGGACCCGUUGUUUCAGCUAAUGGUGGUAAGGGUGAGGAUUUUAGAAGUUAGGGUGAGGAUUUCAGUGCCCUAGUAAUCGGGCAUGAGGCAUUACCAUCGUUGUCUGCAUGUAAUAAGUCAUCCUCGUCUCGUCAUCAUUCCCAUGGUGGUUCUUAGAGCAUAUCCACUCCCCCGCUGACACGUCUCCAACGUAUCUAUAAUUUUUGAUGGUUCCAUGCUAUUAUCUUGUCAACUUUGGAUGUUUUAUAUGCAUGAAUAUGCUAUUUUAUAUCUUUUUGGGACUAACCUAUUAACUCAGUGCCAAGUGCCAGUUUCUGUUUUUUCCGUGUUUUUGACCUUUUUCAUAGAAGAAUAUUAAACGGAGUCCAAAUGGAAUAAAGCCUACGGGAUGAUUUUUUCCGUAACAGAAGAUACGCAGGGGACUUGAGAACCAAGGCAGGAUACCUCAUGGGAGAUCACAAGCCCCCUAGCCGCGGCCUAGGGGGGUGGCCGCGCCUGGCAGGCUUGUGGGCCCCACGUGGCUCCUUUGCCCUACCUCUUUCGCCUAUAAAUUCGCUAAAAUCCUGAAACCAAAGAAGAGAGCCACGAAAAUACUUUUCCACCGCCGCAAGCUUCUGUCUCCGCAAGAUCCCAUCUGGGGACCGUUCUGGUGCCCUACGGGAGGGGGAUUCGGACAUGGAGGGCUUCUUCAUCAACACCAUUUCCUCUCCGAGGAUGCGUCAGUAGUUCACCACAGACCUUCGGGUCCAUAGCUAGUAGCUAGAUGGCUUCUUCUCUCUCUUGGAUCUUCAAUACAAAGUUCUCCAUGAUCUUCAUGGAGAUCUAUCCCAUGUAACUUUCUUUUGCAGUGUGUUUGUCGAGAUCCGAUGAAUUGUGGAUUUAUGAUCAGAUUAUCUAUGCAUAUUAUUUGAGUCUCCUCUGAUUUCUUAUAUGCAUGAUUUCGUAUCCUUGUAAUUAUCUUUGAGUUAUUGGUUUUGUUUGGCCAACUUGAUCUAUAAUUCUUACAAUGGGAGAAGUGCUUGGUUUUGGGUUCAUACCGUACGGUGUCCUCACCUAGUGACAGAAGGGGUAGCGAGGCACGCAUCGUGUUGUUGCCAUCAAGGGUAAAAAGAUGGGGUUUAUACCAUAUUGCAAGAAUUUAUCCCUCUACAUCAUGUCAUCUUGCUUAAGGCGUUACUCCGUNNNNNNNNNNGUUGAUGUGUGGAGUAAUAGUAGUAGAUGCAGAAAGUAUCGGUCUACUUGUCUCGGACGUGAUGCCUAUAUGUAUGAUCAUUGCCUUAGAUAUCGUCAUGACUUUGCGCGAUUGUAUCAAUUGCUCGACAGUAAUUCGUUCACCCACUGUAAUACUUGCUAUCAUGAGAGAAGCCUCUAGUGAACACUAUGACCCCCAGGUCUAUUUUACACAUCAUAUAUUCAGAUCUACAUACAAAAAUACCAAAAAUACUUUGCUGCACUUUUAUUUCUGUUUACCUUUUAUCACCUUCAGAUCUCACCUUGCAAGUAAUCGUGAAGGGAUUGACAACCCCUUUAUCGCGUUGGGUGCAAGUUUGUUUGUUUUUGCGCAGGUUCAUUUGGUGCCUCAUCUUGAUACUCCUACUGGAUUGAUACCUUGGUUCUCAAACUGAGGGAAAUACUUAUCUCUACUUUGCUGCAUCACCCUUUCCUUCUCAAGGGAAAAACCAAUGCAAGCUCAAGAAGUAGCAGGAAGAAUUUCUGGCGCCGUUGCCGGGGAGUAUUCAAGUGAAGCAUAUCUACCAAGUACCUAUCGCAAACCCAUCUCUUGCAUUUACAUUAUUUGCCAUUUGCCUCUCGUUUUCCUCUCCACCACUUCUAAAACGAUUUUCCGAAAAUACCAAAAAGAUUUUCCUUUUUAUUCACUAUUCUCCCGUUCGCCUUUUUGUUGCUAUGUUUGCUUGUGUUGCCAUGUGCCUUCUAUUUGCUUGCAUCUUCGCUUGCUAAAAAUCUAUUGAUAUGGGUCCUCAUCCACUUGCUAAUCUUUUCAAAAGACCAAAUUAUGAUGAAUAAUUUGCUAGUGAGUUGAGUGCACUUGACUAUCUCUAUGGAGUUUUGUUUGAAAAUCAUGAAUGUGAAAUUUUUGAUGAAGUGUUGAAAGAAGAAAAUUAUAAAGUGGUUCAUGAUAUCUGCUUGAAUGAAAAACAUGAUUGCCAUGUUGUGAGUAUGAAUUCUUUGAAUAUCUAUGAUGCUAAUGAUAUGCAAAACCACAAGCUUGGGGAUGCUAUGCUUGAUGAAGAUGAUAUUUUUUUGUUUCCCAAGUUUUGGUGAUGACCCUUAUGCUAUAAUUGAUCAUGAAAAGAAUGCUUUGUGUGAUAGUUAUAUUGUAAGAUUCCUUCAUGAUGUUACUAAAAAUUACUAUGAGAGAGGAACAUAUGCUUUUACAUAUUGCAAUGAUAUCAAGCUUCCUCUCUAUGUGUUCAACGUUUUGAAGUUAUGCUUGUUUUGCCUUCCUAUGCUAGUUAAUUCUUGUUCCCAUAAAUUGUUUGCUCACAAAAUGCCUAUGCAUAGGAAGUAUGUUAGACUUAGAUAUGUUUGUCACAUGUUUCAUGAUGCUCUCUUCGUGUCCGAUUGCUAUCUUUUAUGUGAGCAUCAUUGAAUUAUCAAUGCCUAGCUAAAAGGCUUUAAAGAAAAGCGCUUGUUGGGAGGCAACCCAAUGAAUAAAUUUAUUUUUGCUUUUCACUUUCUGUUUUGUUGAGUCCACACCAUCAUAAUUCUGUUAUGAUUGUGUUUGUUAUGUUUUAAUUAGUGUUUGUGCCAAGUAGAACCUUUAUGAUUAGUUUUGGUGAUAGUUGUUUAAUCAUGCUGAAAAAGACAGAAACUUUGUGCUCACGAAAUUAUUUUUAAUUCCUAUCCACAAAGAUCUUUUGAGUUGAUUCUUUUUUGCUUCUGGUUUAUAUGCAAAUUUCCCUAAUUUUACUAAAUUUUCAGAAUUUUUGGGAUACUAGAGGUAUACGAAGUAUACAUAUUACUACAGACUGGUCUGUUUUUGACAGAUUCUGUUUUUGUUGUGUUGAUUGCUUAUUUUGAUGAAACUAUGGUUAGUAUCGGGGGGUACUAGCUAUGGAAAAGUGAGAAUACAGUAAUAUAACAUCAAUCUAAAUAUAAAUCAAGUUUACUACACUACCUAAAAAGUUGGUAGUUUGUUUUCUUAUGCUAAUGAUAUCACGAGUUUCUGUUUAAGUUUUGUGUUGUGAAGUUUUCAAGUUUUGGGUGAUAUUCUCAUGGACAAUGGAAUAAAGAGUGUAAAGAGCUUAAGCUUGGGUAUGUCCAAGACAUCCCAAGCCAAAUUCAAGGACACCAAAAAGCCUAAGCUUGGGGAUGCCCCGGGAAGGCAUCCCCUCUUUUCGUCUUCAAUCCAUCGGUAACGUUACCUGGAGCUAUAUUUUUAUUCACCACAUGAUAUGUGUUUUGCUUGGAGCGUCGUGUAUUAUAGGAGUCUUUACUUUUUGUUUUGUCACAAUCAUCCUUGUUGCACACCUUUUUGAGAAGGAUAUGCACUCAUCGUGGAUUUGUUAGAAUACUCAAUGAGCUUCACUUAUAUCUUUUGAGUUAGGCAAUUUAGCUCGCAUGUGCUUCACUUAUAUCUUUUAAGCUAGAUAACUUUUCUCUAGUGCUUCACUUAAAUCUUUUUAGAGCACGGCGGUGUCAUAUUUUGUAGAAAUAAAAACUCUCGAUCUUCACUUAUAUCAUUUUGUGAGUGCUAUCUCUAAGUAACUUGGUAAUUGGCGUGUGCUAUGAAAUUAGUCCUAAAUAUGUUAGGCAUCCAAAGAGGAUAUAAUAAAAACUUUCAUAUUCAAGUGCAUUGAUUAGUAAGAAAAGUUUGGUUCCUCACAAUUAGUUUUGAGAUAUGGAUAUGGUAAUAUUAGAGUUAUGUUAGUAGGGUGUUGUGAAUCUAGAAAUACUUGUGUUGAAGUUAGUAAUUCCCGUAAAUGAUGUUUUGCUGUGUAUCCCUUGCAAUGGCGCCAGAAAUAGUUGUGUCGACGACACCAGGAAUCCUUCAGCUACGGCUACGCCUUAAGGGACUUCCUAGGCAAGUAUGCAAAGGAUUUCCCCCGUGGCCUUGGAGCCUUGUGUUGGUGUUCCCUCGAAGCGGAAAGGGUGAUGUAGCAUAGCGACGGUAAGUAUUUCCCUCAGUUUGAGAACCAAGGUAUCAAUCCGGCGGAAGAGUAUCUCAAGAUCCUGCACACACACAAAAGCUUGCACCCAACGCUAUGAAGGGGUUGUCAAUCCCUUAUAGAUUGUUUGCCAAGUGAGAACUGAAAGUAACAAAGUAACAAAGCAAAGUAAAAGCGGAGGUGUAAACGAUGGAUGUGAAUAGACCCGGGGGCCGUAGUGUUUACUAGUGGCUUCUCUCAUGAAAGCAAGUAGACGGUGGGUGAAAAAAUUACUGUCGAGCAAUUGAUAGAACUGUGCAGAGUCGUGACGAUAUCUNNNNNNNNNNNNNNNNNNNNNNNNNNNNNNNNNNNNNNNNNNNNNNNNNNNNNNNNNNNNNNNNNNNNNNNNNNNNNNNNNNNNNNNNNNNNNNNNNNNNAAGAGGCAGCCUCAAACCCUCAAGGUUUGGCCGAAAUUGGAGGUGGAGGAGUCCUACUCCAAUCCUACUUGGAGUAGGAUUCCACCUUCCCACUUGGAAACUCUUUCCACCUUGUGUUUUUUCCUUCUCAAACCUUAUGGGCCUUAGUGGGAACUUAUUCCAGCCCACUAGGGGCUGGUUUAUCUCUUCCCAUAGCCCAUGAGACCCCUUGGGGCGUGACACCCCUCCCGAUGGUCCCCGGCACCCCUCCCGGCACUCCCGGUACACUACCGAUGAGCCCGAAACUUUUCCGGUGACCAAAACAGGACUUCCUAUAUAUCAAUCUUUACCUCCGGACCAUUCCGGAGCUCCUCGUGACAUCCUGGAUCUCAUCCGGGACUCCGAACAACAUUCGGUAACCAACCAUAUAACUCAAAUACGCAUAAAACAACGUCGAACCUUAAGUGUGCAGACCCUGCGGGUUCGAGAACUAUGUAGACAUGACCCGAGAGACUCCUCGGUCAAUAUCCAAUAGCGGGACCUGGAUGCCCAUAUUGGAUCCUACAUAUUCUACGAAGAUCUUAUCGUUUGAACCUCAGUGCCAAGGAUUCAUAUAAUCCCGUAUGUCAUUCCCUUUGUCCUUCGGUAUGUUACUUGCCCGAGAUUCGAUCGUCAGUAUCCGCAUACCUAUUUCAAUCUCGUUUACCGGCAAGUCUCUUUACUCGUUCCGUAAUACAAGAUCCCGCAACUUACACUAAGUCACAUUGCUUGCAAGGCUUGUGUGUGAUGUUGUAUUACCGAGUGGGCCCCGAGAUACCUCUCCGUCAUACAGAGUGACAAAUCCCAGUCUCGAUCCAUACUAACUCAACGAACAUCUUCGGAGAUACCUGUAGAGCAUCUUUAUAGUCACCCAGUUACGUUGCGACGUUUGAUACACACAAAGUAUUCCUCCGAUGUUAGUAAGUUAUAUGAUCUCAUGGUCAUAGGAACAAAUACUUGACACGCAGAAAACAGUAGCAACAAAAUGACACGAUCAACAUGCUACGUCUAUUAGUUUGGGUCUAGUCCAUCACAUGAUUCUCCUAAUGAUGUGAUCCCGUUAUCAAGUGACAACACUUUCCCAUGGCCAGGAAACAUUGACCAUCUUUGAUCAACGAGCUAGUCAACUAGAGGCUUACUAGGGACAGUGUUUUGUCUAUGUAUCCACACAAGUAUUGUGUUUCCAAUCAAUACAAUUAUAGCAUGGAUAAUAAACGAUUAUCAUGAACUAAGAAAUAUAAUAAUAACUAAUUUAUUAUUGCCUCUAGGGCAUAUUUCCAACAGCCGCUACUGCCGCGUCUGUGGACCUCUUGGCAUCGAGCCUUCUCCACCGGUCCAUUGUGACCGCCUGCCGAUUCUGGACAUCCACCAUCCACUAAGCGUCCGACAUGCCCAUUGGCCUAGCCAUCGGCGCCCUCGGCUUCCUUUACUUCGGUCGGGUGGAAUCAGCGGCGGCAGCAAAGCGAGGGGCAGUAUACUUCUUCGGUGGCAUGGCGACCGGAUGGCGGGAGCGGCCGGGGGGAGAAGCGGAAGCAAGGAGGAAAUGGAGGGAGAGGGGGAGAAAACGGCGGGAAUAGGCCCGUUUGUCGCCAACAGCACGGAUCCACUCGACUUUUUGUUUCGGCCGGCACCCCGAGGCGCACCCCGGGGGCUAGGUUCGGCUCGGGUUCGUUGUGUGUUUUUUCGGCCCAAACCGGCGCUGAACGAGGAGUUAGGGGCGCUGGUGGGCCGAUUUUUCGCCGUCGGCGCUAAAAAAGGCGUCUUGUGGGGCCUAUUGGUGGGCGGGUGCUACUUCUUGAGCUUGCGUUGGUUUUUCCCUUGAAGAGGAAAGGGUGAUGCAGCAAAGUAGAGAUAAGUAUUUCCCUCAGUUUGAGAACCAAGGUAUCAAUCCAGUAGGAGUAUCAAGAUGAGGCACCAAUGAACCUGCGCAAAAACAAACAAACUUGCACCCAACGCGAUAAAGGGGUUGUCAAUCCCUUCACGAUUACUUGCAAGGUGAGAUCUGAAGGUGAUAAAAGGUAAAAAGAAAUAAAAGUGCAGCAAAGUAUUUUUGGUAUUUUUGUAUGUAGAUCUGAAUAUAUGAUGUGUAAAAUAGACCCGGGGGCCAUAGUGUUCACUAGAGGCUUCUCUCAUGAUAGCAAGUAUUACUGUGGGUGAACGAAUUACUGUCGAGCAAUUGAUAGAAUCGCGCAAAGUCAUGACGAUAUCUAAGGCAAUGAUCAUACAUAUAGGCAUCACAUCCAAGACAAGUAGACCAAUACUUUCUGCAUCUACUACUAUUACUCCACACAUCGAUCGCUAUCCAGCAUGCAUNNNNNNNNNNNNNNNNNNNNNNNNNNNNNNNNNNNNNNNNNNNNNNNNNNNNNNNNNNNNNNNNNNNNNNNNNNNNNNNNNNNNNNNNNNNNNNNNNNNNNNNNNNNNNNNNNNNNNNNNNNNNNNNNNNNNNNNNNNNNNNNNNNNNNNNNNNNNNNNNNNNNNNNNNNNNNNNNNNNNNNNNNNNUGUAGAGGGAUAAAUUCAUGCAAUAUGAUAUAAACUCGAUCUUUUUACCCUUGAUGGCAACAACACGAUGCGUGCCUCGCUACCCCUUCUAUCACUAGGUGAGGACACCGCACGGUAUGAACCCAAAACCAAGCACUUCUCCCAUUGCAAGAAUUAUAGAACAAGUUGGCCAAACGAAACCAAUAACUGGAAGAGAAUUACAAGGAUACAAAAUCAUGCAUAUAAGAAAUCAGAGGAGACUCAAAUAAUAUUCAUAGAUAAUCUGAUCAUAAAUCCACAAUUCAUCGGAUCUCGACAAACACACCGCAAAAGAAGAUUACAUCGGAUAGAUCUCCAUGAAGAUCAUGGAUAACUUUGUAUUGAAGAUCCAAGAGAGAGAAGAAGCCAUCUAGCUACUAGCUAUGUACCCGAAGGUCUGUGGUGAACUACUCACGCAUCAUCGGAGAGGCAAUGGUGUUUAUAAUAAGCCCUCCGUGUCCGAAUCCCCCUCCGGUAGGGCACCAGAACGGUCCCCAGAUGGGAUCUUGCGGAGACAGAAGCUUGCGGCGGUGGAAAAGUACUUUCGAUGAUCUCCUGAUUUUUUCUGGGAUUUUAGGGAAUAUAUAGGUGAAAGACCUAGGGCAGAGGUGGCCCAGGGAGCCCACAAGCCUGGGGGGCGAAAGCCCUAGGUAUUUCGCCUAUAUAUUCCCUAAAAUCCCAGAAAAAAUCAGGAGAUCAUCGAAAGUACUUUUCCGCCGCCGCAAGCUUCUGUCUCCGCAAGAUCCCAUCUGGGGCACGCUCUGGUGCCCUGCCAGAGGGGGGAUUCGGAUACGGACGGCUUCUUCAUCAACACNNNNNNNNNNNNNNNNNNNNNNNNNNNNNNNNNNNNNNNNNNNNNNNNNNNNNNNNNNNNNNNNNNNNNNNNNNNNNNNNNNNNNNNNNNNNNNNNNNNNNNNNNNNNNNNNNNNNNNNNNNNNNNNNNNNNNNNNNNNNNNNNNNNNNNNNNNNNNNNNNNNNNNNNNNNNNNNNNNNNNNNNNNNNNNNNNNNNNNNNNNNNNNNNNNNNNNNNNNNNNNNNNNNNNNNNNNNNNNNNNNNNNNNNNNNNNNNNNNNNNNNNNNNNNNNNNNNNNNNNNNNNNNNNNNNNNNNNNNNNNNNNNNNNNNNNNNNNNNNNNNNNNNNNNNNNNNNNNNNNNNNNNNNNAGUUUCUUCUGAUCUCUCUUAUGCAUGAUUUCAUAUCCUUGUAAUUAUCUUCGAGUAAUGGGUUUUGUUUGGCGAGCUUUAUCUAUGAUCCUUGCAAUGGCAGAAGUGCUUGGUUUUGGGUUCAUACCGUGUGGUGACCUCACCCAGUGACAGAAGGGGUAGCGAGGCACACAUCGUGUUGUUGCCAUCAAGGGUAAAAAGAUGGGUUUUUCAUCAUUGGUUUGAGUUUAUCCCUCUACAUCAUGUCAUCUUGCUUAAGGCGUUACUCUAUUCGUCAUGAACUCAAUACACUAGAUGCAUGUUGGAUAGCAGUCGAUGUGUCGAGUAAUAGUAGUAGAUGCAGAAAGUAUCGGUCAACUUGUCCCGGGCGUGAUGCCUAUAUGUAUGAUCAUUGCCUUAGAUAUCGUCAUGACUUUGUGCGGUUCCAUCAAUUGCUCGACAGUAAUUUUUUCACCCACCGUAAUAUUUGCAAUUUUGGGAUAAGCCUCUAGUGAACACUAUGGCCCCCGGGUCUACUCCACACCAUAUUUUCAGCCUUACUCUUUUCUUCAUUGCACUUUCCGCCUUCAUAUCUUACUUGGCAAUCAAUCUUGAAGGGAUUGACAACCCCUUUAUAGCGUUGGAUGCAAGCUCUUUUGUGUUUGUGCAGGUACUCUGGACUUGACGAGAUUCUCCUACUGGAUUGAUACCUUGGUUCUCAAACUGAGGGAAAUACUUACUGCUCCUGCGCUGCAUCACCCUUUCCUCUUCAAGGGAAAAGCCAACGCAAGCAAGUCUCCGUCAACGUGUCAAUUUAUGGCGCUGUUGUUUGAGAAGUAGCAUCCACCCCCACCAAAGGGUGAUCAUGUGUUCGAUCUUAAACAGUUGCCUGAUACUCUUAAGUAUACUUAUCUUGAUGAAAAAGGGAUAUAUCCUGUUAUUAUUAGUGCUAGCCUCUCAGAGCAUGAAGAAAAGAGGUUACUAAAAACUCUGAGGAAGCACCGUGCUGCUAUUGGAUAUACUCUUGAUGAUCUUAAGGGCAUUAGUCCCACUCUAUGCCAGCACAAGAUUAAAACUCAUCCUGAUUCCAAACCAGUUGAUGAUCAUCAGAGGAGAUUAAAUCCUAAGAUGAAAGAAGUAGUGAGAAAAUAAAUACUAAAUCUCCUGGAAGCGGGUAUCAUCAAUCAUGUUGCUCAUAGUGAUUGGGUGAGUCUGGUGCAUUGUGUCCCUAAUAAGGGAGGCAUUACCGUUGUCCCUAAUGAUAAGGAUGAAUUGAUCCCACACAGGAUUAUUACUGGCUAUAGGAGGGUGAUCGAUUUUAGGAAAUUGAAUAAAGCUACUAGGAAAGAUCAUUACCCUUUGCCUUUUAUCGACCAGAUGCUAGAAAGACUGUCUAAACACACACACUUCUGCUUUCUAGACGAUUAUUCUGGUUUCUCUCAAAUACCAAUUGCACAAUCUGAUGAGGAUAAAACCACUUUCACCUGCCCUUUCGGUACCUUUGCUUAUAGACGCAUGCCUUUUGGCUUAUGUAAUGCACCUGCCACCUUUCAAAGAUGUAUGAUGGAUAUAUUCUCUGACUUUUGUGAAAAUAUUGUUGAGGUUUUCAUGGAUGACUUCUCCGUUUAUGGGUCUUCCUUUGAUGAUUGCCUCAGCAACCUCGGUCGAGUCUUGCAGAGAUGUAAAGACACCAAUCUUGUCUUGAAUUGGGAGAAAUGCCACUUUAUGGUUAAUGUAGGCAUCGUCUUGGGACAUAAAAUUUCUGAAAGAGGUAUUGAAGUCGAUAAGGAUAAAGUUGAUGCGAUCGAGAAAAUGACAUACCCCACAGAUAUCAAAGGUAUAAGAAGUUUCCAUGGUCAUGCUGGUUUCUAUAGGAGGUUCAUUAAAGACUUCUCUAAGAUUUCUAGUCCUCUUACCACCUGAUUGGAACUUACCUUUUGAAAUCAUGCGUGAUGCUAGUGAUUAUGUCGUUGGUGCUGUCCUAGGGCAAAUAGUUGAUAAGAAGAUGAAUGUUAUUCACUAUGCUAGUAAAACUCUAGACAUUGCCCAACGAAACUAUUCCACUACGGAAAAGGAAUUUUUAGCAGUCGCGUUUGCAUGUGAAAAGUUCAGGUCUUACAUAGUUGAUUCCAAAGUCACUAUUCACACUAAUCACGCUGCUAUUAAGUACCUCAUGGAGAAGAAGGACGCUAAACCUAGACUUAUCAGAUGGGUUCUCUUGCUACAAGAAUUUGAUUUGCACGUUGUCGACAGGAAGGGUGCUGAUAACCCCGUAGCAGAUAACUUGUCUAGGUUGGAGAACGUUCUUGAUGACCCACAACCUAUUGAUGAUAGCUUUCCUGAUGAGCAAUUGAAUGUCAUAAAUCCUUCACAUAGUGCACCAUGGUAUGCUGAUUAUGCAAACUAUAUCGUUGCCAAAUAUAUACCACCUAGUUUCACAUACCAGCAAAAGAAUAAAUUCUUCUUUGACUUGAGACAUUACUUUUGGGAUGAUCCUCACCUUUAUAAGGAAGGAUUAGAUGGUGUUAUUAGAAGUUGUGUACCUGAACAUGAACUGGGACAGAUCCUACAGAAGUGUCACUCCGAGGCCUACAGAGGACACCAUGCGGGAGAUAGAACUGCACACAAGGUAUUGCAAUCAUGUUUCUAUUGGCCCACUCUCUUCAAGGAUGCCCGUAAGUUUGUCUUGUCUUGUGACAAAUGUCAAAGAAUAGGUAAUAUCGGUAAACGUCAGGAAAUGCCUAUGAACNNNNNNNNNNNNNNNNNNNNNNNNNNNNNNNNNNNNNNNNNNNNNNNNNNNNNNNNNNNNNNNNNNNNNNNNNNNNNNNNNNNNNNNNNNNNNNNNNNNNNNNNNNNNNNNNNNNNNNNNNNNNNNNNNNNNNNNNNNNNNNNNNNNNNNNNNNNNNNNNNNNNNNNNNNNNNNNNNNNNNNNNNNNNNNNNNNNNNNNNNNNNNNNNNGGUAUACUCACAUCUUAGUUGUUGUUGAUUAGGUCACUAAGUGGGUAGAAGCUAUCCCCGCUAGUAGUGCUGAUGACAACACAUCUAUUAGGAUGCUUAAAGAAGUUAUUUUCCCUCGAGUUGGAGUCCCUAGAUAUCUAAUGGCCGACGAUGGUUCACAUUUCAUUUAUGGUGCUUUCUAUAAAACGCUUGCUAAGCACGAUGUCCACCAUAGAAUUGCGUCUCCCUAUCACCCUCAGUCCAGUGGUCAAGUAGAGCUAAGCAAUAGAGAGAUUAAACUGAUUCUGCAAAAGACUGUCAAUAGGUCUAGAAAGAAUUGGUCUAAGAAGCUCGAUGAUGCACUGUGGGCUUAUAGGACUGCCUAUAAGAAUCCCAUGGGCAUGUCUCCGUACAAAAUGGUGUACGGUAAGGCAUGUCAUUUACCUCUUGAGCUAGAGCACAAAGCUUAUUGGGCAAUCAAAGAGCUCAACUUUGAUUUCAAACUUGCCGGUGAGAAGAGGUUAUUUGAUAUUUGCUCGCUUGAUGAAUGGAGAACUCAGGCAUAUGAGAAUGCCAAGUUUUUCAAAGAAAAGGUUAAGAGGUGGCAUGAUAAGAGGAUACAAAAGCGUGAGUUCAAUGUAGGUGAUUAUCUCUUGCUAUAUAAUUCUCUUUAAGAUUUUUUGGAGGCAAGCUUCUCUCUAAAUGGGAAGGUCCCUAUAUUGUUGAGGAAGUAUAUCGUUCUGGUGCUAUCAAGAUCAAAAACACGGAAGGUAAUUGUCCGAGAGUGGUAAAUGGGCAGAGAAUCAAGCAUUAUAUCUCAGGUACUCCCACAAAUGUUGAAAGCAAUAUCAUCAAUACCAUAACUCCGGAAGAAUACCUAAGGGAUAUUUAUAAACCUGUUUCAGACUCUGAAAACGAAGAGGUAUGUGAUUCGGUAAGAAAACAGACUCCAAAACUUUUCCAGUAGGAAUUUUUCUCCGUUUUGGAAUAUUUGAAAAAAUAGAAAAAUUGGAAGUAUUCCGGAAAGCGCGCGAGGAGGCGACAAGCCUGCCAGGCGCGGUCCAACCCCUUGGCCGCGCCUGGGGGGCUUGUGGCCACCUCGUGUGCCUCCCGGACUUCGCUUUCGAGCGGAGUACUCCUUCUGGUCAGAAAAAAAUCAUUAUAUAUUCUCCCGUAAGGUCUUACCCUCGUAUCACACGAAUUUCCUUUGUUUUCGUUUCGAGCCUGUUUUGUGCCGCAGAUUUAGAGCAAGAUGUCGUCCCAGGAAUCUGUGGGGGAGAACAAUCUCCCUCAAGUCUAUGAAGAAGUAAAUGCUGAUCUGAAAAGAAUGGAGGCCAAAGAAAGGCUACCUAAAGAAACCAAGGGCAAAACUAAGGAGAAGAAUUAGGCGUGGGAUGAAGCACAAUCUGUGUUCAACAAGGAAGAAGUUGAAGAAGUGGAUUUGUUCCAACCCUAUCUCCACCUAUUGUCUCCAUCCUUGAUUGAAGUGUUGAGGUUUUGUGAAACAACUCGUGCUCGCAAUACUUAUCUCACUCGUGAAGUUGUUUUGCUGGAGAAACAUAUCACGCAUCUCCAAGGUAUAAAUCAAAGAUUGAUGGCCCUCUUGGAAUCAAAGGGCAAAGCAACUCCACCACCAUCACCUCCAAAGGAAGACAACUAAGCAUGGGUAUGGGCAAUACCGUUGGCUUGUGCCAAGCUUGGGGAGUUGCCCCGGUAUCGUAUCACCAUCACAUCUUUUGCCUUUACCUUUGUUUUAGUUUGUUCCCUUUCAGUUUUCUCUUUCUCUAAUAGAAUAAAAGUCUUAGUGUUUUAGUCUUGAAGUUUUGCUUUGUGUCACCCCCGAUGUAUUUGAGCUCGUGAGCCAUAUAAUAAAGAGUGUCUUAGUUGAGGGCUUUGUCUCUUGCCAUGAUCAAAAGAUUGAGAAAAGAACAAAAGCAUGAAAGAUCAUGUGAUGAUCUUAUGGGAAGUGAUGGCUUCACAUAUAAAAAGAAUGUUGAUUGAAACUUGUUGAGGUAGACAAACGUAGACCUUGGUCAUUGUUGCAAUUAAUAGGAAGUGAUAAAGAAUGAGAGGAUGACAUAUAAAUAUAUCAUCUUUGACACCAUCUAUGAUUGUGAACACUCACUAAACUAUUACAUGCUUAGAAGUAGAUGUUGGACAAGGAAGACAACAUAAUGAAUUGUGUUUGCUUGGUUCCAAACAAUGUUAUAUGAUUAGAGAUCCCUUAGCAUGUGACGAUUGCUUCCACCUCAUAUUAUCCAAAACUCCCGCACCAAGUAGAGAUACUACUUGUGCAUCCACAAACCUUCAACCCAGUAUUGCCAUGAGAGUCCACCAUACCUACCUAUGGAUUGAAUAAGAUCCCUCAAGUAAGUUGUCAUUUGUGCAAGCAAUAAAAAUUGCUCCCUAAUAUGUAUGAUCUAUUAGUGUGUCGAAAAUAAGCUUUGUACGAACCUGUGAUGAGGAAGACAUAAAAGCGACAGACUGCAUAAUAAAGUUCUUUAUCACAGGAGGCAAUAUAAAGUGACGUUCCUCCGCACUAAGAGGACACGCAUCCAAACCUCAAAAGCGCAUCACAACCUCUGCUUCCCUCUGCGAAGGGCCUAUCUUGUACCUUUACUUUUUGCCCUUGAAAGAGUCAUGGUGAUAUUCACCAAUUCCUUGUUUCGCCCUUAUCUUGGCUAAUGUCAUAUGCUUGGGAAAGAUCUAUAUUCAUAUGUCAACUUGGANNNNNNNNNNNNNNNNNNNNNNNNNNNNNNNNNNNNNNNNNNNNNNNNNNNNNNNNNNNNNNNNNNNNNNNNNNNNNNNNNNNNNNNNNNNNNNNNNNNNGAUGUUGUGAUAAAUUGCAAUUGCAUCAAUGACUAAAGGCUAUCGGUUGUUAUUUCUCGGUAAGGUUCUUGAUCCAUAGUUUACUUUGUGAAGGAAUUUUCACUUUAGCAUAAGAGAUUAUAUGUUGGUAUUGCUAUUCUGAUCAUGAUCAUGAUGCAUGUAUGUUCGUAUCUUGUUUUGUCGACAUCUCUCUCCCUAAACAUGUGGGCAUAUUUAUUGAGCUCGGCUUUCGCUUGAGGACAAGCGAGGUCUAAGCUUGGGGGAGUUGAUACGUCCAUUUUGCAUCAUGCUUUCAUGUUGGUAUUUAUUGCUUUUUGGGCUGUUAUUUCACUUCACGGUACAAUACUUCUGCCUUUUCUAUCUUAUUUUGCAAGGUUUACAUGAAGAGGGAGAAUGCCGGCAGCUGGAAUUCUGGCCUGAAAAAGGAGAAAGUUUGAGAUGCCUAUUCUGCACAACUCCAAAAGCCGUGAAAAUCAACGUGGAUUUUUUUUGGAAUAUAUAAAAAAUACUGGGCCGAAGAAGUGCCAGAGGAGCGCAACCAGGGGGCCACAAGCCUGGUAGGCGCGGCCACCCCCCCUGGCCGCGCCUAGGGGGCUAGUGGGCUCCCUGCUGGCCCACUGGCUCCCCUCUUCUGCUAUAUGAAGGGUUUCGUUCUGAAAAAAAUCAGGAGGAGGCUUUUCGGAGGAUUCGCCGCCGCCACGAGGCGGAACUUGAGCAGAACCAAUCUAGAGCUCCGACAGGACGAUCCUGCCGGGGAAACUUCCCUCCCUGAGAGGGAAAUCAUCGCCAUCGUCAUCACCAACACUCCUCUCAUCGGAGGGGCUCAUCACGAUCAACAUCUUCCUCAUCACCAUCUCAUCUCCAAACCCUAGUUCAUCACUUGUAACCAAUCUCCGUCUCGUGACUCCGAUUGGUACUUGUAAGGUUGCUAGUAGUGUUAAUUACUCUUUGUAGUUGAUGCUAGUUGGAUUACUUGGUGCAAGAGUUUAUGUUCAGAUCUUUGAUGCUACUCAUUACCUCUCUGGUCAUGAAUAUGUUUAUGCUUUGUGAGUAGUUACUUUUGUUCCUGAGGACAUGGGAUAAGUUGUGUUUUAAGUAGUCAUGUGAAUUUGGUAUUCGUUCGAUAUUUUGAUGUGUUGUAUGUUGUUUUUCCUCUAGUGGUGUUAUGUGAACGUCGACUACAUAACACUUCACCAUUAUUCGGGCCUAGAGGAAGGCAUUGGGAAGUAGUAAGUAGAUGAUGGGUUGCUAGAGUGACAGAAGCUUAAACCCUAGUUUAUGCGUUGCUUCGUAAGGUGCUGAUUUGGAUCCACUAGUUUAAUGCUAUGGUUAGACUUUGUCUUAAUUCUUCUUUCGUAGUUGCGGAUGCUUGCGAGAGGGGUUAAUCAUAAGUGGGAUGCUUGUCCAAGUAAGGGCAGUACCCAAGCGCCGGUCCACCCACAUAUCAAACUAUCAAAGUAAAGAACGCGAAUCAUAUGAACAUGAUGAAUACUAGCAUGACAGAAAUUCCUGUGUGUCCUCGGGAGCGUUUUUCCUCCUAUAAGACUUUGUACAGGCUUGUCCCUUGCUACAAAAUGGAUUGGGCCACUUUGCUGCACCGUUGUUACUUUUGUUACUUGCUACUCGCUACGAAUCAUCUCACCACACAACUACUUGUUACCAAUAAUUUCAGUGCUUGCAGAUAUUACCUUGCUGAAUACCACUUGCCAGAUCCUUCUGCUCCUCGUUGGGUUCCACACUCUUACUUAUGGAAAGAACUACGAUAGAUCCCCUAUACUUGUGGGUCAUCACAUAUCAAGCAUCCCCAAGCUUAACUCGUCCUCGAGUAGGGAAGUGAUAAAGACUGAAUUUUUUAUGUGGAAUGCUACCUAUCAUAUUUUUAUUUGUAACUUCUUUCUUGUGGCAUGAAUGUUCAGAUCCGUAAGAUUCAAAACAAUAGUUUACUAUUGACAUGAAAACAAUAAUACUUCAACCAUACUAGCAAAGUAAUCGUGAACUUUUGAAAUAACAAGGCCAAAGAAAGUUAUCCCUACAAAAUAAUAUAGUCUGGCUAUGCUCCAUCAUCCCCACACAACGAAUUUAAAUCAUGCACAACCCCGGUAUUGGCCAAGUUAUUGUUUUCGCACUCUUACUUUCUCAAACCUUUUCAACUCUCACGCAAUACAUGAGCGUGAGCCAUGGAUAUAGCACUAUAGGUGGAAUAGAGUGCGGUGGAGGUUGUGAGGCAAAAAGGAGAAGAUGGUCACAUCGACUCGGCGUAUCAAUGGGCAAUGGAGAUGCCCAUCAAUAUAUAUCAAUGUGAAUGAGUAGGGAUUGCCAUGCAACGGAAAGCUCAAAAAGAAAACUAGUGGGUGUGCACCCAACUUGCUUGCUCACAAGACCUAGGGCAAUUUUGAGGAAGCCCAUCAUUGGAAUAUACAAGCCAAGUUAUAUAAUGAAAAUUCCCACUAGUAUAUGGAAGUGACAAAACAAGAGACUCUGUAUCAUGAAGAACAUGGUGCUAUUUUGAAGCACAAGUGUGGAAAAAGAUAGUAGCAUUGCCCCUUCUCUCUUUUUCUCUCAUUUUUUUUGUUUGGGCUCUUUGGCCUUUUUUUAUUUCCUCACAUGGGACAAUGCUCUAAUAAUGAUGAUCAUCACACUUUUAUUUACUUACAACUCAAUCUUAGAACAAUGAUGACUCUAUAUGAAAUGCCUCCGGUAGUGUACCGGGAUGUGCAACGAUCUAGCUUAGCGUAUGACGUUGAAAAAUCUCGCUAGCUAUCUUACAAUCAUGCAAUGGCAAUAUGAAAGUGACGGCACAUGUCAUGGGAUGGAACGGUGGAAGUUGCAUGGCAAUAUAUCUCGGAAUGGCUAUUAAAAUGCCAUAAUAGGUAGGUAUGGUGGUUGUUUUGAGGAAGGUAUAUGGUGGGUUUGUGUACCAGCGAAAGUUGUGCGGCACUAGAGAGGCUAGAAAUGCUGGAAGGGUGAGAGUGCGUAUAAUCCAUGGACUCACAUUAGUCAUGAAGAACUCAUAUACUUAUUGCAAAAGUUUUAUUAGUAAUCAAAACAAAGUGCUAAACACAUACUCCUAGGGGAAGGGUUGGUAGGUGUUAACCAUCGCGCGAUCCCGACCGCCACACAAAGGAUGACAAUCAAUAAAUCAAUUAUGCUCCGACUUCCUAACAUAGCGGUUCACCAUACGUGCAUGCUACUGAUACGUCUCAAACGUAUCUAUAAUUUUUGAUGGUUUCACGCUGUUAUCUUGCCUUCUUUGUGUGUUUUAUGUAUCUUUUUAUAUCUUUUUGGGACUAACUUAUUAAUUCAGUUCCAAGUGCCAGUUCCUGUUUUUCCGUGUUAUUUGACUCUUUUCAGAUCGGAUUUUGGAACGGAGUCCAAACGGAAGAAAAACCCCGAAAUGAUUUUUUCCUGAACGGAAGAAUUCCAGGGGGCUUUUGGGCCAAGCCAGGUGGGCUCGAGGGAGCCCACAAGCCCCCACUCCACCACCAGGGGAGGCGGCGGUGGGCAGGCUUGUGGCCUCCCUGGUCGCCCCUGACCUAGGUCUUUGGCCUAUAAAUUCCCAAAUAUUCCGCAAAAAAUUAGGGGAGCCUCGAAGAUACUUCUUCGCCACCGCAAGCUUCCGUUUCUGCGAGAUCCCAUCUGGAGACCCUUCCCGGCACCCUGUCGGAGGGGACUUUGGAGUUGGAGGGCUUCUUCUUCAUCAUCAUCGCCCCUCCAAUGACUCGUUAGUAGUUCACUUCAGACCUACGGGUCCGUAGUUAGUAGCUAGAUGGUUUCUUCUCUCUCUUGGAUCUUCAAUACAAAGUUCUCCAUGAUCUUCAUGGAGAUCUAUCCGAUGUAAUCUUCUUUGGCGGUGUGUUUGUCGAGAUCCAAUGAAUUGUGGACUUGUGAUCAGAUUAUCUAUGAUAUAUAUUUGAGUCUUUGCUGAUUUCUUAUAUGCAUGAUUUGAUAUCCUUGUAAGUCUCUCCGAGUCUUGGGUUUUGUUUGGCCAACUAGAUCUAUGAUUCUUGCAAUGGGAGAAGUGCUUGGUUUUGGGUUCUGCCAUGUGGUGACCUUUCCCAGUGACAGUAGGGGCAGCAAGGCACACAUCAAGCAAUUGCCAUCAAGGGUAAAAAGAUGGGGUUUUUAUCAUUGGUUUGAGAUUAUCCCUCUACAUCAUGUCAUCUUGCUUAAGGCGUUACUCUGUUCUUAUGAACUUAAUACACUAGAUGCAUGUUGGAUAGCGGUCGACGUGUGGAGUAAUAGUAGUAGAUGCAGAAAGUAUCGGUCUACUUGUUUCGGACGUGAUGCCUAUAGAAAUAAUAAUUGCAUNNNNNNNNNNNNNNNNNNNNNNNNNNNNNNNNNNNNNNNNNNNNNNNNNNNNNNNNNNNNNNNNNNNNNNNNNNNNNNNNNNNNNNNNNNNNNNNNNNNNGAUCUCCAUGAAGAUCAUGGAGAACUUUGUAUUGAAGAUCCAAGAGAGAGAAGAAGCCAUCUAGCUACUAGCUAUGGACCCGUAGGUCUAUGAUGAACUACUCACGCAUCAUCAGAGAGGUCAUGGUGUUGAUGAAGAAGCCCUCCGUAUCCAAAUCCCGCCUCCGGCAGGGCACCAGAACGUGCCCCAGAUGGGAUCUUGCGGAUACACAAGCUUGCGGCGGCGGAAAAGUAUUUUCGUGGAUCUCCUGAUUUUUUCUGGGAUUUUAGGGAAUAUAUAGGCGAAAUACCUAGGGUAGGGGAGGCCCAGGGAGCCCACAAGCCUGGGAGGCGCGGCCCCCCUGGCCGCACCAUGAGGGCUUGUGGGGUCCCUGGUGACCCUCUGCCUUGGUUCUCAAGUCUCCCGAUCGUAUUUUGUUUCGGAAAAAAUCUUUUCGGAAGUUUGAUUUCGUUUGGACUCCGUUCAAAAUUCUCCUCUGAAAAGGGUCAAAAACACGGAAAAAAUAGGAACUGGCACUUGACACUGAGUUAAUAAGUUAGUCCCCAAAAAGAUAUAAAAGGCAUACAAAACAUCCAAAGUUUGACAAGAUAAUAGCAUGAAACCAUCAAAAAUUAUAGAUACGUUGGAGACGUAUCACUCGGCAUGCCAGCUCUUACACCGACUGUUAUGAUCGGUUGAAUGAAGUUGGUGCCUACUAUGAGAAUAAUUAGCCUGUUGGACCACCGCAGUUUUGAGUAUCUUGAUGGCAUUCCUAGCCUCAAUGUUUGCUGGACUAUUUCCCCUGAUCAGGAUUGCAGCAAGAUUUUGAGUCACCGCAAGCAUGUUAUCAACCAUGUUGGAGUAAUGAAACGGUGGAGUAUGGAAAUGUCGACGUGAUUGCUGAGCCGGGGUAUGUUGAUAGAUCGGCCUGUUUGUGCCUGGAGGCACUGCUCGCAUUAAUUUAGGUAUGACAGGGGUCUCUCCAGGCAUGCCGGCUCCUGCUCCUCGAAUAGUCGUGUCAAGCUGAAUUUCAAACAAACGAGUCGGCUCAAAGGUUGACGACAACCGACUCUGGUGCCUUCUUGUGUGAACCAGGGAGUUCUCGUUUUGGCGAAAACCUAAGUGGACUGCUUUUGACAGUAAGCGCUCUGACUCUUUGUGGAUGUUGACCUGCAUAUUUACCAUACGAGUGUUCUUUGUGUUGAUCUCCUCCUGGAUUAUGGCCAUCUGCUCCUGAAGUUUCUUAACCUCAGCGCUGCGCUCUGUCAUGUUCUCCUCGAUAAUGGGUGAUACUAGAAGGGUGCUCAAUGUAGUUGCGAGUUCUAACAGAGUUUGAGUCGAAGGUUUACUUGAGCUGGCUCCGUCUAGAGCUGCGGUCUCGCCUUCGGUCCUCGUACCAACGACAACGAAAUUUUGAAUCAUCGAUGUCCCUAGCGUGUGCUUUCCUACCAUAAAAACGGUUGCGCGAUGUGACGGCUCAAAAACCUCUGUGGUGGUCUCCACGUCAGUAUAGCACUUGGGUCGGUCGUCAAAAAGUGGAAGGAUUGACUCGGUAUCGCCGAUUGAUGUCUUUCCAUCAUAGUAGGCAAGGGUGUCACCGCCAGACACAUAAUUUCCUGAUAGAUCGACUCCCUGAGUGAAUCCAACAAAGACUUGGUUCCACGCGGCUUGUGACGAUCUAGGUUGAGAGCAUUGAGUCGGCUCGACGAUGUCGGUGAAGGUGUCCGGCUUGAGCUCAGAUUUGCUGAUUUUGCCAAUGAUGAGGUGCUUCCGGGCGGCUUGUGUCGGGUCGGGUUGAGAGCGUCGAGCCGACUUGAUGAUGCCGGUGAAGUUGUCCGACUCGAGCCCCGAUUAGACGAUCUUGCCGAUAAAGAUGUGGAUUUAAAUUACUGUAAAUCCAUACCUAGAUGGAAAUUCAUGAAACUUGGAAUGGUGUCAUGACAUGGCCCAUAAAGGCGUUGUAUGAUUUUGUUUUCCAUUUUGAGACAUGUUUUCCAAUUUAUUUCACCUGGGCCAAACAUUGAGCAUAUUGGUUUAAAUUAUAGUAACCACAAAAGUCAAACAAAAAUCAUGAAAUUGGGCAGGGCAUCAUGAUAUAGCACAAAUAUGUUGUGGUAUUUUUUGUGUCCACUUUGAGUGAAGGUGCAAACGUUAAUAGCCAACUGAUACGUCUCCAACGUAUCUAUAAAUUUUGAUGGUUCCAUGCUAUAAUAUUAUCAUUCUAGGAUGCUUUUUGGGUGUAUAUAUACCAAUUACUAUUAUGUUUGUGCACUAACCAAUUAACCCAGUGUCAAGUGCCAGUUGUUAUUUUCUGCAUGUUUUUGGCUUUUUAGAUUUAUAGUACCAAACGAAGUCCAAUUGCCCGGGAACUUUUUUAUGAUUUUUCUAGACCAAAAGAAGACAUGAAAGCACGUGAUGAGACCGGAGGCUGCACGAGGGACGCAUCACACAUCAGGGUGCACCAAGGGGGUGGUUGCAUCCUAUUGUGUAUUGGCCCCCUCGACCGUUUCGUGGCAUACCUCUUCAUCCUAUAAAUUCUCAAACACCCCAAAAACCCUAGGGAGCAACCCGAAACACUUUUUUCGCCAUGGCAAGUCUUUGUUCCAUCAUGAGGCCAUCUAGAGCCCUUUUCCAGUGCCCUGUCAGAGGAGGGAUCGAUCAUGGAGGACCUCUACAUCAACCUUGAUGCUCCCAUGGUGAUGUGUGAGUAGUUUACCACAGACCUACGGGUCCGUAACUAGUACAUAGAUGGUUAUCUCUCUCUCUCUCUUGAUCUUCAAUAAAAUGAUCAUCACAUCUUCACUUUGAUCAAUCUAAUGUACUCCUAUUGUGCGAUGCAUUUUUUGGGAUCCGAUGAAUUGUGGGUUUAUGUUCAGAUUAUUCAUGAUAAAGAUUUGAGUCUUCUCCGACUUCUAAUUAUGGUUCCUAUUUGUAUGAUUAUCAUAGAUUCGUAAAUCUCUCUCAUCUAUUGAAAUAGUCUGGCCAACUGGACUGAUAUUUCUUCGGUGAGAGGGGUGCGUUGUAGUGGGUUCAAUGUGAUGGGUUUCUAUAUCCCAGUGAUAGAAGACGCAAGAUAUGUCAUUGUAUUGUUACCACGAAGGAUAAAACAAUUGGGUUUAUUCAUAUUGACUGAGUUCUCUUUGUCUACAUCAUGUCAUCAUUCCCCAACCAUUACUCUGUUUUCCAUGAACUUAAUUCGUAGAGAUACAAGCAUAGAAGCGCUCUUGAAGUGGAGUAAUAGUAAUAGGUGCAUGCGGAAUUCGGCCUAUUUUCUUACGGACGUGUGUUGGGGAACGUUGCAUGGGAAACAAAAAAUUUCCUACGCACACGAAGACCUAUCACGGUGAUGUCCAUCUACGAGAGGAGAUUUGGAUCUACGUACCCUUGUAGAUCGUACAGCAGGAAGCGUUAAGAAACGCGGUUGAUGUAGUGGAACGUCCUCACGUCCCUCGAUCCGCCCCGCGAACCGUCCCACGAACCGUCCUGCGAUCCGUCCCACGAUCCGCUCCGAUCUAGUGCCGAACGGACGGCACCUCCGCGUUCAGCACACGUACAGCUCGACGAUGAUCUCGGCCUUCUUGAUCCAGCAAGCAAGAUGGAGAAGUAGAUGAGUUCUCCAGCAGCGUGACAGCGCUCCGGUGGUGGUGAAGGAUCUACUCCUGCAGGGCUCCGCCCAAGAUCCGCAGAAAUACGAUCUAGAGGUAAACUAUGGUGUCUAGAUCUGAGUUGCACGUGGCAAAGUUGUCUCAAAUCAGCCCUAAAUCACCAGUAUAUAUAGGAGGGAGGGGGAGGGGCUUGCCUUGAGGGACAAGCCCCCAAGGUGCACCGGCAAAGAGGAGGAGAAGGACUCCUACUCCAAUCCUACUCAAAAUAGGAUUGGAAAGUGGAGUCCUUCCCUUCCUUCCCACCUUUUUUUCUUUCUUUGGUUUUCUCUCUAUGACACAUAGGCCUUAUUGGGUUGUCCCACCAGCCCAUUAAGGGCUGGUGCGCCACCCGUAAGUGCUUUGGGCUUCCCCUGGGAGGGUUGCUCCCCUCCCGGUGAACUUCCAGAACCCAUUCGUCACUCCCGAUACAUUCCCGGUAAUGCCCGAAAACUUUCCGGUAACCAAAUGAAGUCAUCCUAUAUAUUAAUCUUUGUCUCUGGACCAUUAUGGAAACCCUCGUGACGUCUGUGAUCUCAUCCGGCACUCCGAACAACAUUUGGUAACCACGCAUAUAACUUAACUAUACUAAAACAUCGUUGAACCUUAAGUGUGCAGACCCUAUGGGUUCGAGAACUAUGUAGACAUGCCCCAAGGUACUCCUCGGUCAAUAUCCAAUAGCGGUACCUGGAUGCCCAUAUUGGAUCCUACAUAUUCUCCGAAGAUCUUAUCGGUUGAACCUCAGUGUCAAGGAUUCAUAUAAUCCCGUAUGUGAUUCCAUUUGUCCUUCGGUAUAUUACUUGCCCAAGAUUCGAUCGUAGGUAUCCGCAUACCUACUUCAAUCUCAUUACCGGCAAGUCUCUUUACUCGUUCUGUAAUACAAGAUCCCGUGACUUACACUUAGUCACAUUGCUUCCAAGGCUUGUGUGUGAUGUUGUAUUACCGAGUGGGCCCCGAGAUACCUCUUCGUCACACGGAGUGACAAAUCCCAGUCUUGAUCCAUACUAACUCAACGGACACCUUCGGAGAUACCUGUAGAGCACCUUUAUCGUCACCCAGUUACGUUGUGACGUUUGAUACACACAAGGUAUUCCUCUGGUGCGAGUGAGUUUAUAUGAUCUCAUGGUCAUAGGAACAAAUACUUGACACGCAGAAAACUAUAGCAAUAAAACGACACGAUCAAUAUGCUACAUUCAUAGUUUGGGUCUAGUCCAUCACAUGAUUCUCCUAAUGAUGUGGUCCAGUUAUCAAGCAACAACACUUUGCACAUAGUCAGAAAACCUUGACUAUCCUUGAUCAACUGGCUAGCCAACUAGAGGCUUGCUAGGGACAUUGUUGUGUCUAUGUAUCCACACAUGUAUCUAUGUUUUCAUUCAAUACAAUUAUAGCAUGGAUAAUAAACGAUUAUAUUUAAACAUGAAAUAUAAUAAUAACUAUUUACCAUUGCCUCUAGGGCAUAUUUCCAACAAUGUGAUGCCUAUAUACAUAUGAUCAUUGAUACGUCUCCAACAUAUCAAUAAUUUAUGAACUAUUCAUGUCAAUAUUCUACAACUUCCAUAUACUUUUGGCAACAUUUUAUAUUAUUUUUUGGGAAUAACUUACUUACCGAAUGUCCUUUGCCAUUUUUAUUUUUUGUGUGUUUUUGUUUCACGGAAAUUCCAUAUCAAACGGAGUCCAAAUGUGAUAGAAAUUUAGGGAGAUUUUUUUAUAAUAUAUGUCAAUUUUGGGAAAAAGAAUCAAUGCCACAUGAUGCCCGAGGCUCUCACACGACAACAGGGCAUGGCCAGGGGGGUGGUCACACCCUGAUGCCUUGUGGCUCCCCCUUAAGUCGGUUGGGGCCCUAAUUUCACCGCAAGAAAGAUAUUUCCCUGAUAAAAAACCCUCAAAAUUUUAGCCUGAUCGGAGUUAUGGAGCUCCGGAUAUUUAAGAAACAGUGAAGGGCCAGAAAACAGGAGAGAAACUAAGAGAGAGAGAUCCAAUCUCGGAGGGGGUGUUGCCCCUCCGGGAGCCAUGGUGGCCAAGGACUAGAGGAGUGAACCUCUCCCCAUCUAGGGAGAGGUCAUGGAGGAGGAAGCCUAAUGGGGGACACUCUCUCCCCCUCUCUUCCGGUGGCGCCGGAGUGCCGCCGGGAGAACCAUCGGCGCAGUGAUCGUCAUCAUCAACAUCACCGUCUCCAUCACCUUCCCUAGUCUAUCUAUGGCGGUCCACUCUCCCGCACCUUUCUGUAAUCCCCUACUUGAACAUGGUGUUUCAUGCCACAUAUUAUUAAUCAAUGAUGUGUUGCCAUGUUAUCAUGUUUUAGUAGAUUUAUGUUGUCCUUUGGGUUGAUUAAUUUGAGUGUAUGUUUUAUUUUGGUGUUGUCCUAUGGUGCCCUUCGUGUCAUGCACACGUGAGGGAGUUCUUACUGUAUGGUUCGCAAUAUGUUCAUGAUUUUAUUGUAGUGGGUGGCUAGAGUGACAGAAGCUUACACCCGAGUAAGGGAGUUGUUUGCAUAUGGGAGUAAAGGUGACUUGAUGUUUAAUGUUAUGGUUUGGUUUACCUUAAUGAUUUCUAGUAGUUGUGGAUGCUUGCUAGAGAUCCAAUCAUAAUUUCAUAUGAUCCAAGUACGGAAAGUAUGUUAGCUCAUGCGUCUCCCUCAUAUAAAAUUGCAAGAAUGGUUACCGAUCUUGUUAUAAAUUGCCUAGGAUGAUUCCGCACACCAUACCAUCAUUAUUCCACACUCGCUAUUUGUAAUAUAUUGUGAUAUAUUCUAACUUUAUUUAGCAAGAUACUAUUUUCAUAUUUUAGUUCUACAAUAUCAUGCAAACAUAUCCUCUCUAUGCCCACAACGCGGAUUUAUUUCUCGUUACAAGAUAGAAGCAAAUGUUUGGUGUAUGUAGAGUCGUAUCGGUAGCAGAUAGGACUUGAGAGAAUAUUGAUCUUACCUUUAGCUCCUUGUGGGUUCAACACUUCAUACUUACCACUUCCAUAUUUGUAAAUUGCUACGAUGAUUCAUUCCACUUGGGGAUUCUCAAGCUCUAUAAGGCUUGCCCAACUGAUCCCUUUGCCCUCCCACGUAUUGACCAGAUCAUUGACGCAACGGCGGGUUACGAGAGUCUGUGCUUCCUGGAUGCUUAUUCUUGUUAACAUCAGAUAAAGAUGCUGGUUGAAGACGAGGAAAAAGAAACUUUUAUCACGCCCUUUGGAGCUUUCAGUUAUGUAUCUAUGCCUUUUGGGCUCAAGAGUGCUCAGGUGACUUACCAGCAUCGUGUUCAGAAUUGCCUUCAUGGACAGAUUGGGCGCAAUGUUCAUGCUUAUGUUGAUGAAAUUGUGGUAAAAUCAAGGAAGAAGGAAACCUUGCUUGAAUAUUUGAAGGAAACCUCUGACAAUCUCCGGGUGUACAAGAUGAUGCUUAACCCGACCAAGUGCGUCUUCGGGCUAUGUGCAGGAAAACUACUAUGUUUCCUGGUUUCAAAGAGAGAUAUUGAAACUAACCCGAAGAAAAUUGUGGCCGUCACUUCCUUAUCUAAGCCGGCAUGUAUCAAUGACGUGCAACGCCUGGCAGGUCACAUUGCGGCCCUGAGCCGGUUCAUAAGUUGCGUGGGUGAAAAGGCGAUUUCUCUAUACCAAAUGAUGAAAAAGAGUGAUCAUUUUGUCUGGAGUGAUGCUGUUAAUGAGGCUUUUGAAGCACCUAAGAGCAGUUGGUUGAGUCGCCCGUCUUGGUGGCUCCGAUCGACAAAGAGCAUAUGUUCCUAUAUGUGGCGACUAAUAAUCGGGCCAUCGACGUGGCAGUUGUCGUGGAAUGCAAGGAGGCAGGGAAGGAGUGCCCAGUCCAACAGCCGGUUUAUUAUGUCAGCGAAGUCUUAUUAGAGUCCAAGCAAAGAUAUCCACAUUGGCAGAAAUUGGUGUUUGGAGUGUUCAUGGCUAGUCGCAAGUUAAAACAAUACUUCCUUGGGGAUCCAAUCACUGUUGUCAGUUCGGCUCCUCUCGGAGAUAUCAUCCAAAAGAGAGAAGCUAUAGGCCGGGUUGCUAAGUGGGCAACUGAGCUUGGGCCUCAUCAUUUGAAAUACGUGCCCAGGACUGCUAUCAAGUAUCAAGCCUUGGUAGAUUUCAUCAAUUACUAGACAGAGUUACAAACACCCGAGGAAAAACCACAUAAUACAUACUAGACGAUACACUGACGGAUCUAGACAAUUGGAAGGCUCGGGGGUUGGAGUUAUUUUAUCUUCCCCACAAGGUGACAAGUUUUGUUAUGUCCUCCGUCUUAUGCUUCCAUGUACUAACAUGUAGAUGAGUAUGAGGCUUUAUUACAUGGGAUCCACAUGGCUAAGGAAAUGAACUUAAGCAAACUCAGAUGCUUGGGCGACUCAGAUCUUGUGGCACAACAAGUUUCAAGGAAGCGGGACUCUAAAGACCGGCUCAUGGCGGCUUAUCUUCAGGCGGUGACUAACAUUGUGUUAGAGCAUAUAUCUCCAUAUGUGGUUUUGGUAAUUGAUGGCAAUUCCUAUGGACUAAUGGUUGCCUUAAGUUAUAUUUAUAGGAUUUGUCCAUAGGCACUUCUUGAAGUCCAUCUGUUGGGUUCAAGGAGUUUAUAUGAUGACCAAGAUGGUAUUCAAGGUAUUAUCCAAAGAAUGGUCAUAGAGACACAAGGUUGAUCAAGAUCUCAUACAAAGAGUAAAUCAAGAUGAUCAACACACAAAGCGUACAAGAUGUACCGAGAGGGAUCAAGUGAUCCCAUGGUAUGGUAAGCAUUGUCCAUUACGUGUUUGUGUACUAACCCAUGGUCUUCGUGAGAGUUCUAUGUGGGGGUUAGGUGUGUUUCCAUGGGCUUGCGUUAAAAGGAAGAUCUCAUACAACCCAUGAAGGAUGACGUCAAGUGGUGAUCGUCAUCAAGAUUGCGGUGUGCAAGUUCAAGUGGAUCGGCACGAAUAUAUCAUGCUUGAAGCUUGUCGUCCAUUGUGGUGGCAAUGGACUUGUGAAGAUAUGCUGAAGAGUGGCUCACCCAUAGUGAGUAUGGGGGAGCAAUCAACUAGUCUUCAUCAAGCCAACACAAUCAAGAAAGUUGGUCCAUCUUGAGGAAGCAAAGAUCAUCAUCAUCUAGCUCAAGAGGUCGAGGUACAAGGUAUAGGUUUGCCCUUGAUAGGUUUUCUGUUUUAGGAUAGAUUGUUGUACUAUCAAGGGGGGCUCUCAAGUGAGUAGCUUGAUCGUAUCGUUCAUUGAGAGCUCAAACCAUUUGCAUCCUUGCGUCAUACUUCUUGGUUCUUAUUUGGUGUUUCUCUUUGUGAUUUUUAGAGCUUAUGGUCAUCUUCAUGACAAGCUCGAGUUCAUCGAAAACGGAGUCCAUAUGCAUCUACUAUGAUGUUUUCGAUGUUGGAGUUUUUGCCGGUUCUUCAUUCAUAGAGGUCUCACAUCUCUAUAUCAUUGGCAUUUUCAUAUCUGCAAGUUUGGAUAGCUCUUGUCGUCCUGAAUCCAACAAGCUUGGGUUUGCUCGAUUCGGAGCUCGUAUGCGAAAGUUAUGGUUGUUUCAGUGGCGAGCGGUAGUACUGCUGGACCUAGCGGUAGUACCGAUGGCCCUAGCGGUAGUACUGCUAGAGCUGGCAGUAGUACCGCUGUCCUAGCGGUAGUACCGCCCCUGGUCAGCGAUAGUACCGCUCCAAGACUUUAGUACCGUCAUCCUUGCGGUUGUACUACGUCGGAAUUUUUGCGAAGACGUUCUUGGCGGUGGUUGGCCCGGUAGUAUCUUUGCGCUACCAUGGGCUCAGCGGUAGUACCGCUGCAGCCAGCGGUAGUACCGCUGCAGGGUCAGCGGUAGUACCGCUGGGCUCGGGCUGUAAGUGGGGGUAACGGUCUGAUUCCUUCCCCCACUAUAUAAAGGGGGUCUUCUUCCCCCUUGGCCUUAUCCAUAUCUUUAGCUCAUGUUCUUCCCCCAUUGUUGACCUUCUUCGAGCUUGCUAACUCUCAAUCCCUCCAAUGAUUCUUGCUAGUUCUUGAGGGAAAAGAAAGAGGAGAUCUAGAUCCACAUUUCCACCAAUCACUUUCUCCUCUAACUGAGGGGAACCCCUUGAGUCUAGAUCUUGGAGUUCUUCGUGUUCUUCUUCGUUCUUCCUCUCAUUUUCCUCCCUAGCAUUAGUUGCUUUGGUGGGAUUUGGGAGAGAAGGACUUGGGCACUCCGUGUGCCCUUGCCAUUGCAUUAGUUGCAUCGGUUUGAGUUCUCCACGGUGAUACGUGGAAGUGAAGUUUGAGAAGCUUAUUACCUUUGGUACUUAGUACCCUAGAUAUUGUUCUUCGUGGAUGCUUUGGAGUCCUAGAAGCUUGGUGGUGUCUCGAAGCUCAAUCAUUGUGGUGUAAAGCUCCGGGCAAGUGUCGGGGUCUCCAAUUAGGUUGUGGAGAUUGCCCUGAGCAAUUUGUACGGGUACCGGUGACCGCCCCCAAGGUUUUCCAUUUGUACGGGUUCGGUGACCGCCCUCAAGGGUCCCUUGGUGGAAUCACGGCAUCUUGCAUUGUGCGAGGGCGUGAGGAGAUUACGGUGGCCUUAGUGGCUCUUGGGGAGCAUUGUGCCUCCACACCGCUCCAACAGAGAUUAGCAUCGGAAAGGGUGUGAACUUCAGGAUACAUCAUUGUCUCCGCGUGCCUCGGUUAUCUCUUUCCUGAACCCUUUACUUAUGCACUUUACUUUGUGAUAGCCAUAUUGUUUAUUCUCAUAUAUCUUGCUAUCACUUAGUUGUUUAUCUUGCUUAGCAUAAGUUGUUGGUGCACAUAGGUGAGCCUAGUUGUUGCAAGUUUUGUGCUUGACAAAUUAAACGUUAGUUUUAUUCCGCAUUUGUUCAAGCCUAAACCGUAAUUAUUUUAAAGCGCCUAUUCACCCCCCUCUAGGAGACAUCCACAUCCUUUCACAUUGCUACUCACUUAAAAGGAUAUCAAGUGGAUCAUAUAGACCGAUGUCUUAAUGAGGCGCCAGAUGCUUUAUCGCGGUUAGGUUCUCAGCGUAAUCCGGUCCCCCCCCCCAAUGUGUACCAUUUCAACAGCUCAUCCAUCACUCCCGAGGCAUAUCACGUGUCACCACUCGACGGCCAUGGGCACACAAGGUUCUCCACGUUAGCGGACUUCAGCAUGGUUGCUCUGGGCAUGCCCUCGGGCAUCAUCGACCUCAAUGUCAUGUCGGGGUACAGUGGCGCUGGCUAGCCGCCCGACGGGAUGCAAAGGAAGUAGCUCCGGUCGCUCCCUUCGGCAAACAUGGCCCCCACAUGCAGGUUGUUUGACGAAAUGCCACUAUCGACGCCAACUAUCGAUGACCCUGACUAUGCGAUAUUCAUGGAGAACGUCGUCUUCGGGGGCCGUGGUGAGGACUUCCACGUCGAUGGCCAAGGCCAAGCUUUUGAUACCGAUGCAACCCAAAGCCAGGACGGUCGAGGCCGCUAUGAAGACACUCAAUUCGACGACCACUAUGAAGACACUCAAUUCGACAGCCAUGAGGACGACCAUGGAAAUUCUUGGCAUGAAGAUGAUGACUUGUAUUGUGUAGAUGAGAAAGAAGAGGUCGACAUUUUGGCAGAUCCAUUGGUGUUCAUGGACGAGCUCACCCAAAGGGCCGAGGCACAAAAGAAGAGGCAAAGCAUUCACACGUGAUCAUGCACUCAACUAGAGGACACGUUGAUUUGCGAGACUUGGAUGGAGAUAGGCCAAUAUCCUAUGAAAGGUUUUGAGAAAAAAGAUUCGUCUUUUGGAAGAGAGUUCGCAACACCUUUCAUGAGCGAAGGAAGUUUCCCCCCUACCAAUUCGCAAGCACACGACAUCAAUUAAAUCCAAAAGAGAUGGGGAUUCAUCCAACAAGAGUGCGACAAAUAUUGUUCCACGCUUGAGAGCAUUCAAGCCCGUCUCGUGAGUGGCCUAGGCAUUGGUGACUUGGUAUGAACCACUAGUUUUCUCGUCAUGUGUCCAUUCAUGUUGGCAUGCAAUUUAUGUUUUGAUGUACUUUGUGUCCUUCCAUGUUACAAUUGUGGCCGCAUCUUUGGUUGUGUAGGCGUUCCAAUCUUUGGAAGCCUUCAACGCUCGACACAAGAAUAAGUCCUUUACUCUCACGUAUUGUUGGUCGUUCAUCAAAGAUUGCCUCAAGUUCAAAGACCAAUAUGUUGCUCGUAAAAAUAAAGGAGGGAAGGCGGUUGUGGCUGACGAAGGAGGCUUACUCAAGAGGCCGAAGGGGAAUACAAUCUCAAAGGCCGAGGAGAAGUGUGAUGCAGCUUCUAUAGCCUUGCAAGGAACAUUGGAGAACAUGAUGAGCCAAAAGGAAGUGACGUAAUAGUGGAGGAGCAAAGGGAAGGAGGAUAAAAUAAAGAUCUACCUAGAUCUCCAAACGAAGAAGCUUGACAUGGAGGAGGUCGUGAAGAGGAGGAAGCUUGACAUCGAGGAGGCCUCUCAACUCAAGAAGCUCGAGAUCGAGGCCACCAAUGCCGAGAACAAAGCAACAGAGGUGGCACUCGUGUUCACGAGUGUCGACAAGAACAACAUUUCAUGAGAGACGAAGGCUUGGUUCGUGAACCGGCAGAAGGAGAUGUUCGCCCGCGACAACCCGAACUAGGUGAGAUCUUGGUCGCGACCGCCAUCCAUUUAAAAGGUUGGCUGGUGUGCCGGCCGCUCGCCUUGUUGACGGCACCAAAAACCUGUCCAUUUUGAAGGUUGGCUCGUGUGCCGGCCACUGGCUUUGUUGCCGGCCCAAAACUUGUCCAUUUUGAAGGUUGGUUCGUGUGCCCGCACUUGGCUUUGUUGCCAACGUGAAAGUUGGAUGACCAUUCUGUAGGCCGCUAGCUUUGUUGCCGGCCAGCAUGAACUCAUGUGAACACGGUCGCUCGCAUAAACUAUGCCCACAGCCAUUUAGCUACAUCCUUUAUUCUUUUCAUAUUUGUAAGCAGAGCGGACGAGAUGCGACCGAAAUGCAAUCGCGUGUUGGGCGCACGAGUGACGCAUCCACAAAUCCGGACACACAUUCUCCCAAUGCCAUUACAAACAAACAAAAAAUAGAUAAAAUGGAUGUCCGUUUGAGAUCGUGCAUUAGAGUUUCCCUUAGAUAAACUCCAACGCGCUCAUCCAUUUCGUCCGCGUGCGUCCGUUUGGGUCGCGGCGGACAAAAGUGACGGCCCAACGCGCCAACCCAAACCCAAAUCACGUCCGCUUCGCCUCCGCGCGGACCCAUUUUCAGCCCAAAAUUGCACGUGAAAUGCGUCGGUGCAAACGUGAAGCGGACGCGACACGCGCCUUCUCACGUCCAAGCCCAUCCACACGUGGCGCCCGGUCAAAGCCAACGGCAUCUUUAUUAACAACGAUCGCCCGCUGCAGUCCCACGCGUCAGCGACCCACUCGCGUCCUUUUUUAAUCCGAGCGUGAGGGGGGCUCAUCCUCUUCGAGAAGCCACCCCAUCCACAUCUAGCCACUCCUGCUCCCCCGCCGGCGGCAAACCCUAGCCACCACCACCAUGGGGUUCUUCCCCGCGAAGGACAAGGAAAAGUCCCUCGCCGUCCCUGUCUGCGCGUCGGAGUCUUCCCAUCCACCUCACCAGCGGGUCAACGUGCCGGUGCACCAGACGAGGUGGCAUUGGGAGCACCGUGUCCUCCUCCCCUACCCUGAUAUAAUGCUACCGCAUGACUGGCUGACGCUAGAGUAGUGGCGCAGCCCCGUCUACGUUGCAGACUCCCCGAUUGGUACGCUGGUUUGCUGGGAGCACGAUGAGCAACAUCGGCAUGGCGUCUGCGACGUGGCGGCUGGACCACUACCGCCCCUCGUCAUGCGCGAAGAGGACCAGAAGGCGGAGGCGGCGUACCAGAACGCGCUUGCGGCCAUCCUGCGCGCAAUCGAGGAGGGAGCGUGCCUGAAGGAGGAGGAGAAGGCCGCCUACGAGAAGGAGCUGGCGGAGGCCAUUGCGUUCUCCGCUGCCGACGACACACUCGUGCGGCCGUUGGCCCCGUCGUCCCCCUUAGGAGGGUGUACGCCUGGGACGGGGUGGUGCGCGAGUGGGUUAGCGCGCCACCCGUCUGGUUGGGUGCAACGCCGGAGCAGGAGGGGUCUACCUGGAACACUGGCGGCAGCGACGGGUGAGGAAGGAGGGCGAAGAGGCCCGAUGGAUCAAGUUGCUCGACUGCGAGGCUGAAGCCGAGGAGGAGCGUCGCGCUGCCCAGCAAGCGGCGGUGCAACCACCGACGGACGCGGUUGCCGUCGCCUGGGAGACGUCUUCCCUUGGGCUGGCCCGACGCCGACGCUCGUGCCGUCUAAAAAUGGGUCGUUGGUCGCGUUAGACGCAAGCGUCGACCCAAUUACAAAAGCGGAUACAAAUGUCCGUCGGACUAAUUCAAACAGAUAAAUACGAACAAAACACCGUUAGUUUAAAUCGACCUUGAAGUUACUCUUAAAUCCCGGAUGGAAUGAAGAUAUCACGAUCUCUAUAAUCAUUCAACCAUAUAUUGAUUUACGUGAGACACGAAUCUUUGAUUGAGUGAAUCAAGCUAGCAAUGAAGAAUAAAAGGACGAGGAAAGGUCGGCAGAUGGCGUGUAGCCCCGCAUGUCAUUCGCAGUCCAUCUAUCCGCGUCUGGAUAACUUCGUAUCGAAGUCAAGCACUGUUCCUUCAAUUUCUUUAAUCUGAGAGGAGCUCUGUUCUUAUGAUCUUAUCUACUUUCUCACCCUACCGCCUCCCUUCAGUACUCACACAAAACACCCUUAAAAUAAUAUUUUAUCACAUCGCGCACCAUCCCACACUUGCCCAACACGAGAGAAGCCUUACACGGCCCACCCAAGAAAAGCACAGGGCCUUUCUUGCAAAUUGUCCCCCGAUUUUUUCGGACGACGCAAACGAAAGGGAGAGAGAGGAGAGGAGAGGCGAGACGCCACCGAGAGAGGAGAGAGAGCCAUCAGCCAUGGGAGGAGGCGUCAUGCGCACCGCUGCGAAGGUCGGCCUCGCCGGGGGCGCCGCGGCGGCGGCGGGCCGCUUCCGCAACGUCGCCCCGUCCUUCGCCACGGCCCCCGCCGCCGAGGCCGCCGCGGCGGCGCCGCUGCUGUCCGCGGCCGGGGAGGUCCCCGCGGUGGCCCCGGCUGGGUCGCAGUGGGCGUCCUGGGAGGUGGACGACUGGGAAUUCGCGGACUGGAGGUCCGAGUCGGCGACGUCCGAGGCGGACGUGGCGGNNNNNN
rnacentral:lncRNA from 1 species